GAAAUUCAGAAGACUGAAGCCCAGGCUUACUGUCUACCUUUCACGGAGGCCUAGCCGUGAGAGGACAGAAGAAGGCACGUGGCGAAUCAUGACAGCUGACAAAGACAAAGACAAAGACAAAGAGAAGGACCGGGACCGAGAUCGGGACCGAGAGAGAGAUAAACGAGACAAAGCAAGAGAGAGUGAGAAUUCAAGGCCACGCAGGAGCUGUACCUUGGAAGGAGGAGCCAAAAAUUAUGCCGAGAGCGAUCACAGUGAAGAUGAGGAUAAUGACAACAAUAGUGCCACCACAGAGGAGUCCACCAAGAAGAACAAAAAGAAACCACCGAAAAAAAAAUCUCGCUACGAAAGGACAGAUACCGGCGAGAUAACAUCCUACAUCACUGAGGAUGAUGUUGUCUACAGACCAGGAGGUAAGCAGCGUUGCAUUUGGCCUUCACAGUGUUUGUGCUGGAGAAGGACAUCAGCAUUCACAUGCCACUUUACGUGGUAGGGACGGCAGGGGACCCAGAAAAGGAGAUGGUAGUUUGGGGUAGGAGACAUCAAGGUAGGAAACACACUGACCCACUUUUGGGCAGUUGGGUCCGCUGGCUUCUUGCUUGCGUCGGCCUCAACUUGGUCUUCCGUGCUCGCUGUGCACGUCAGUUCUUUCCUUGGGUCCCCUCCUGCUGCUUCUCUCCCUUCACCGUCUACUCAGUACAUUUCAUCUUUUCAUUUCCUCCUUGCUUUUUAUCUUCAAACACAGGCAGUGGUGACCCUGCAGAAUAGAAUACCUGGUGGGGCAAGUAAACUUUAAGAUUCUUAGAAGCAGGGUGUUUCACAUUGGCCACAGGAGUGAGCAGAAGCUCAAGAAAUAUUUGGAAAGACCUUUAAACCAAAGUAAAUUUCUCCUGAUAACCUCCUUUUCCAAGGCACUGAGCUUCAGGAUCUCUGACCAAUAAUAAUAGAUGAAGACAACUAACUUGCUUUGUUUUCCAGAUAAUUUCCUAUAGUUUACUCAGUAUGUUGAGGUUCAAGGUAUUGUUCAGAGAGAGACGGACCCAGCUUUCAGAUGAGAUGCAGGGAAACCAGUGCAUGAGAACCUGCGGACGCCAGCAAAACUUUCCUUUUUCACGUAAUGUGUUGUUUGUGUUCAGGUACUUUUCUUACAGAAGUCCGUAACACUAGCUACAAUCAUUUUGUUUGAAUUAUAAUGCUGAGCAGUGACAUGAAUUUCAUAGGAGAUGGAAUUAAGAAUUAAAAGCCUCCUGGUUGGAGGGUUUAGGGUUAGGGUGCCUGGGUGGCUCAGUCGGUUGAGUGUCCAGUGUUUGAUUUUGGCUCAGGUUAUGAUCCCAGGGUCGUGGGAUUGAGCCCCAUGUCGGGCUCUGUGCUGAGUGUGGAGCCUGCUUGAGGUUCUGUCUGUCUCUCACUCCCCNUUUUCUCCCCCCCCCCCCCCCCCCCCCCCCCCCCCCCGCCAAAAGACUCCGGUUUGCUGUUUUUCCAGGAAAGGGAGAUUGAAGAGAUGAUGUUAUGUCGUUAACCUGAUGCUGUUGUUUUACUGAGGAGUGCCGUCACUUUGCUGAACUUUGCAUGAAGUGCUGGAAUUUUUCUUUGUGUAGGAGUUUGUUUUGAAUUUCCAAAGAUAAUCAAGAUUAGAACUUACACAGCUACACUUGUAGUCACAGCUACAAUUUAUUGGUUGAUGAGUGACUGAGAAGAUAUUUAUGUGAUGUAAAAGUGAUCAGCGUUAGGUUUCAGAGAAGCCAGGGCUCUGCUGCGGAGAUAGAGUCCCGAUCGAGUCACGUGUCGGUUAUACUGCUGUCUGUGUCUGUGAUUUUACAGACUUAGGUAUUGCACAGUAAGAAUUUCUGAGCCACUGAAGAAUAUCUCAUUAUAGAGUUACCAUGGAUAACUUGUUGUGGGCCUGUUCGGUUCUAAAUCAUGAGAAAGGAAUAGAAUGUGUUAACUUCUUUAGGUACAGAUUAUAGUAUCGUAACUUAAAAAUAGGGAAAGAUCUGGGGCUCGGUUGGUUAAGUGUCUUGACUCUUGGUUUUGGCUCAAGUCAUGAUCUUGAUCUCACGGUUUGUGAGUUUGAGCCCCACGUCGGGCUCUGCACUGACAGCGCGGAGCCUGCUUGGGGUUCUCUCUCUCUCAAUCUCUCUCUCUCUCUCUCUCUCUCUCUCUCUCUCUCUCUCUCUCUGCCCCUCCCCUGCUUGCGUGCAUGCACACACACUCUCUCUCAAAAUAAAUAAAUAAACAUUAAAAGAAAUAAGGAAAUACCUUACUGUUCUUUUCUCAUGAUACAUAACAAUUCAAUGCGGUGAUGUGAUCGUUUGGGUCAUGGUCAAAAGGCCAACUGCCUCUUGCGGUGCCGAAUGGCUGUCUUUCUCGAUGGAACGUUACUCCCGUGUCAGUGGCGGUGCUUCCCGCGAGUAUUUGUUGUCCGGUACACGUGGGAAACGCUUGCACAUCCUAUCCCUGUCCUAAGAGAUUCAUGGUGAAUGACCCUGAGAAGUCCUGCAGUUGAGGAAACUUCUGUAACGUUUAAAAAACCCCCCACAAAACCUGCUGUUUUUCCCAUUUAUGGGAUUGUGGUACCCUCUUUCUGCUGAUUAUCUCCCUAAGAGAAACCAGUGUUAAGAAAAGCAGUUCGAGAGCCACUGCACUUUCAUUCUGCACCUUCUGCGGGAUAAUAGAAAUCCUUCCUACUUGAUGUUUGGAAGAGUAUGUGAAAGAAAGUUGCUCGCGGCUUAUUUACAAAACAGUGAGUUCUUAAAGUGUUUUGGAAUUGAGCUGAGAGUAUUUAUGGAGGCAGGCAUUGUUCGGUGAAUCUGAGGACCGUUGUGAAAUAUGAAAAAGGUAUGCUUUCUCGGGAAGCUAAAUAUGUUAUAAAGAAUCUAUGAAAACCCAAAGGAUUUGAAAGUUUUCUGUGACACUCAGAGCAUAACCACUUUGCGUGAGGUGCCCCUCGUACUUGGGAGGGUGACGGUGUCGUGCCUGGCACAUUGCCGGGUCCGGUGGAUGUUUGGCUCUUUGGUGAGGAGACUAACCUUGACCUUCGGUGUUCUCCCCCCCCCUUCCUUUUUAGGAGAGGCUUUUGAAGUUGAAGGGCUUGGUUGCUGUCUCCAAAUAGCUUCUUUCUAACUGGAGGGUUGUUAAACACUGCCUAUUUUUAUGUUUACCUGCACUGAAGAAUCACAAGCGUGGUGCUGUGUUUAGAUUCCCAGAUGGGACUUGAUUUUUCCCCUUUCUUUUGUCUUCUUGUCUUUUUCUUUCUUGGCGCAGAGCACUAUAGUACCAUCUUUUGUUAGUGAUGAAAAACCAUUCUCACCCAGUCACAGAGAUUCUGUAUGCUUAGUUGCAUCUUAAAUGUUUAGGUAGGAACUCCAUAGGACGUCAUAAGGGAUUUCUUCAGUGUAUUAUUCUGUUUUGAAGAUUAGAUCUUUUAUGCUUGUUUGUUUCUUUAGGACAUAAAACACAUUAAUUUUUGUGUUUUUGCUUUCUGUUUUUGUGAAUUGGUUUUAAUACUCAGAUUAAGUGUAAAAUAUAGAUAGUUCCCACUAUAAGAACAAGCCCCACAGUGAGGAUUAAAAAAAAAACCAAAAAACAAACCUAGCCUCUAACUGUACUUCCUUGUCCUAGGGGGACAGGUCUAUCUAUAUUUAGAUUAUCUGGUCUGAGAAGAAUGAGAUUUUUUUGAGAAAAUGGGUAUGAUUUAGAAUUUGUCACUAGCUAAAAUUUAAUUUUAUGCAUGGUCACAAUGAGCUCUUUUAUGCCCCUGCUGUUCAUCUCUGGAGUUAUUUUUAUUUUGUCCUUAGGAGCUCAGCAGGAUAGACUUGAAUGUACUCAUUGCCCACGUUACUUCCUGCCUCCCGCCCUUUGCACUUGCUUUUGCCUCAGGCUAGUGAGUCUCCCCCAUACCUGCAUACAGACAGAUUUCCUUCUUUCCUAUUCUUUUUUCAGUGUUCCCAUUUCAGUGUCACUGCCUUUCCUCUCCCAGGUUACACAGAUUUUCUUUUUUUUUUUUAAUUUUUUUUUUUCAACGUUUAUUUAUUUUUGGGACAGAGAGAGACAGAGCAUGAACAGGGGAGGGGCAGAGAGAGGGAGACACAGAAUCGGAAACAGGCUCCAGGCUCUGAGCCAUCAGCCCAGAGCCUGACACGGGGCUCGAACUCACGGACCGCGAGAUCGUGACCUGAGCCGAAGUCAGACGCUUAACCGACUGAGCCACCCAGGCGCCCCCAGAUUUUCUUUUUUUUAAAUUUUUUUUUUUUCAACGUUUAUUUAUUUUUGGGACAGAGAGAGACAGAGCAUGAAUGGGGGAGGGGCAGAGAGAGAGGAAGACACAGAAUCGGAAGCAGGCUCCAGGCUCUGAGCCAUCAGCCCAGAGCCUGACACGGGGCUCGAACUCACGGACCGCGAGAUCGUGACCUGGCUGAAGUCGGACGCUUAACUGACUGCGCCACCCAGGCGCCCCCUGAUUUUCUUAAUAAACACUGUCACAGCAUUAAGUAUCUUUUCUUCUAGAGCUUACAACUGAUAAUUUUCUGUUUAUUUCUGUUAUUUUGGGAUUAGUAUCUGUCUCCCUCCUCCAUAGAGGAAAAAGAUCUGGUUUUUUUUUGCCUAUCAUUGAAUUCUUGGCACCUAUGACAGUGGUUUACACAUAGCAUACCACUAUGUGUACCAAAUAUUUGUUGAAUAAAUAAAAUUCUGAAAACCUUUCAAAAAUUUAUUAACUGAUUAAUGAUGUCAGGAUUAAAAUAAUGCUCAUGGAAGUCUAUCUUGAAUCAUUUAUUUGCCAAUGAAUGAUUUAACAGACUUGUUGUAAAAUAAAAACCAAAACCAAAAAGCUCGUGGGGCUCUAUUAUAUAUUGUCCCCAUGUCUAAUCUAACUUCUUUGUUGUCUAUCAACCAUUACUCUAUUUUUGAGACGGCUGUCACGGUAACAAAUUGAUUUAUUACACAGCUGUGUGCAGCCAGAUUUCCCUUACGGGCUUCUUUAGCAUAGGAUAUUGAUUUUUAAAGUUUGCUGUGGGUGGCAUAUUAAUUUCUUUCCACUAUUUUCUAAUUCCCCUCCCCCAGCUUUAUUGAGAUGUAAUUGAUAUAUAAUAUUGUUCAGGAUGUACAAUAUAGUGAUUUUGUAUAUGUAUACAUUGCAGAACGAUUACCACAGUAAGAUGAGUUAACUUGUCCAUUACCACAUAUAGGUACUAGUGUGUGUGUGUGUGUGUGUGUGUGUGUGUGUGUGUGUGUGGUGAGAACUUUUAAAAUUGGCUCUUUUAACAACUUUCAAACAUGCAGUGCAGUAUCGCUAACUGUAGUCACCAUGCCGUACAUAAUAUCCCCAAAACUUUUUCAUCUUGUAGAUGGAAGUUUGUAUCCGUUGACCACCUUCACCCAUCCCCUAUAACCUCUGCCCCAUUCCCUCCCUGUGGCAAGUACUGAUCUGUUCUCCUGGUCUCUGUUUCUAUGAGUUUGGUGUUGUUAGAUUCCAUGUCUAGGUGAGACCACACAGUAUUUGUGUUUUUCUGUCUGUUUCACUUAGCAUAAUGCCCUCAAGUUUUAUCCAUGGUGUCAGGAUUCCACCCCCAACCCUCCUGGUCCCUUUAUGAUGGCUGAAUAAUAUUGUUUAUGUAUACGCCACAUUUUCUUUUUUCAUUCGUUCCUUGGUGGACACUUAGGUUAUUUCCAUUUCUUGGCUAUUGUAAAUAAUGCUGCAGUGAACAUAAGGGUAUGGAUAUCUCUUCUAGAUAGUCGUUUCAUUUCCUUUGGCUAAAUACCCAGAGGUAGAAUUUCUGGAUCGUAUGGUGGUUCUGUUUUAGUUUUUUGAGGAAUUUCCAAGCCAUUUUCCAUAGUGAGUGGCUGUACCCAUUUACAUUCUCACCAACAGUGUAUUCGCUGUUUUCAGUUAGAUACUAUGAUUUUUUUUUUUUUUUUAAAUUCCUGAUCAGGUAAAACAGUCAGAAAAUUAAAUUCAGAUUAUUGAGAGAGACUUUUUAAUUUUAGCAUAUCAGUUUGCUUGCUAUUUUGAUAAGGAAACACGUUCUUUAAAAAGUGCCUACUAGUUUGAUUUUCUGUUUCUUGCAUUUCGGGGGAAAGAUUCAGGAUUUUCAAGUUUGUUAUAUUUGUGUUCCUUAUACUUUUAUGAAAAAGUGUCGUAUUUUUCAUGAAGAUAAAUUUUCAUGAAAUUUUAUAUAUGUUUUAUAUAUAAAAGACAAAGAACUUUAAGUUUGUGGUUUAUGAAAUCUUAGGUGAAAUAAAACAUUUCCCCUUUUUAUUUGCAAAUUUUCCUCAUUAUUAGGAAUUGGGGACUUGAACUGAAAAAAGACCUAGAAACUAGAUUUGAUUAUACGUUGAACAUUGAGGUGUUAAUUUCUUUUGAUACAAAUGGAAUUUAAGCUGGAAAAAAAUCCAAACUAAACAAAAUAAAACCUGGGAAUCUGGUUUGAAUCAGAAUGGAAUGUGCGUAUUUUAAAAAACAUAUUGAAGUUAAAAGUAGACUAUUAAUCAAGCAUAAUGUUGAGUAGACACAAAAAAAAGUGUAACACUAUAUGAUUCCUUUAUAUAAAGUUAAAAAAUAGGCAAGGCUAAUCUUUGGUGUUUUGAAGUCGGGUUCUAGUUACACUGAUGGGUGUAACUGGUGUCUGGAACAGAGCAUGAACAGCACCCUCAGGGGUCUGGUCAUGUUCUCUUUCGUGGUGACACUGCUGCUUACAUGGGUUUGUUCACACUGUGAGAAUUUAUCAUGCUUCGCACUUUUCUGCGUAUGUGUUAUACUUCAAUGAAAAAUUUAAAAAGAAGAAGUUAAAACAUGAAACUAUUUUCCUAAUGGAUAAUUUCCCUUUGAUUCAAGUUCCUAAAGAGGGAAAAGAGUCCCCAGCGUUUUACCAAAUGGCAUGUCUUAACAUGUAGCUACUGAUUAUUCACUGAGGGGUUGGUCUCUGACCUGCUAAGAGACUGGCUUUGGUUUCCACGUCUUGAUUCUCUGAAUAAUUGAAAGCUUAUCUAUGGUAACCACUAAGACAAACCUUAGAAAUAAAAAGCACAAAUAAAGUUCUGCCAUUUGGUGUUCCAGGACAUAAAUUUUUGGAGAAAAUAAAACUGCAUUCAAUGCAUAACUUUUUAUCCAUGUCUCUUGUGCUUGUAGAAGAAUUUUAGGUAGAUGUGACAUACAAAUGAAGGUGUCUUGGGGCGUUCUUAUUUUGGGUUGCAGCACAACCCACUUUCUGAUGAGAGCAAGAAUAUUUUUUGUGUAACAAGAGACAUAAAUUCUGGAUAAAGGAACCUUUAAGGCCCAGCUUGAAUCAAGAAAGCGGUUUGACAUGUGUUACAAGUUUGUUUGCACUUAAUAAGCCUAAUAUUAACCUGCAUAAUGCCUUUUGGUGGAUUCCUGUUGUCAGUAGGAUCGAGUCCACAGUGUUCAUUGGCAUACCAGACUCUCUUGUGAUUGCGUAUCUACAUAAUCAUCUUUAGACCUCUUAUUUGGGAGGAGGAAGCCCAGUGAGGCAGUGUACCCAUUUGCUAGGGCUGCUGAGUGCCUUCAACAACAGAAAUAACUUGUCGCAUAGUUUUGGAGGCUAGCACUUCAAGGACAGGGUCCUUCAUGCUCCUUGUGAAGGCAAGAGGAAAGUGUCUCUUUCUUCAGGCUUUUCUGAGCUUCUGGUAGUUCCUUGACUUGUGCACAGCUGUAGUCUUCAUAUGGCGUUCUCCAUGUAGGCCUGUCUCUGCAUCUGCCCAAAUUUCUCCUUGGCUUAAAAGGACACCAAUCAUUGGGGUGCCUGGGUGGCUCAGUCGGUUAAGCGUCCGACUCUGGCUCAGGUCAUUAUCUCACAGUCCAUGAGUUUCAGCCCCAUGUCAGGGUCUGUGCUGACAGCUCGGAGCCUGGAGCCUGCUUCAGAUUCUGUGUCUCCCUCUCUCUCUGCCUCUCUCCCACUUGCACUCUGUCUCUCUCUCUGUCUGUCUGUUUCUCUCUCUCUCUCUCUCUGACCCUCCCCUGUUCAUGCUCUGUCUCAAAAAUAAAUAAACAUUAAAAAAAGAAAUUAAAAAAAAUUAAAACAAAAAAGGACACCAAUUAUGGUGGAUUAGGGCCCUCACCCUGCUGCAUAGGGUGUUAGGGGCCACCUCGUUGUAGCUCGUUACAUCUGCAUCGAUGCUUUUUUCUUCAUGUAAGGUCACAUUCUGAGGUAUUGGUGGUUAGGACUUCACAUCUGAAUUUUGGGGGAAUACAAUUCAGUCCAUAACAGGUGGGUAGAGCUUUGUUGCUAGGUAGACAGACUCGGGCCUGAGUGAGCACAUCAGCUGUAUUUAGUUCUGUGUCCUUGGAACAGUUGUGAAAAAAGGAUUUUUUUUAAGUUUGUUUAUUUUAAGAGAGAGACGUGGGAGGGGCAGAGAGAGGGAGAGAGAGAAUUCCAAGCAGGCUCUGCAUUGUCAGCGCGGAGUCCGAUGCGGGGCUCCAACCCAUGAACCGUGAGAUCGUGACCUGAGCUGAAACCAAGAGUUGGAUGCUUAACUGACUGAGCCACCCUGGCUUUUAUUUUGUUUUGUUUUGUCUUUUUUUUUUGAGAGAGAGAGAGAGACAGACAUAGCACGUGUGUGUGGACAGGGGAGGCAACAGAAGGGGAGAGAGAGAAUUUUAAGCUCAGCAUGGACCCCUGAUGGCCUCAAUUCCACCACAACUCUGGGAUCUUGACCUGAGCCGAAAUGAAGAGCCGGAUGCUUAACUGACUGAACCACCCAUUCCCCCCCCCCCCCCGCCCCCGCAAUGUACUUCUUGUUUUUAAUUACAUUACAAAUGUGCUUUUAGUUGUAGAUUGCAUUAAUUUUUAUUUUUCCCACUUUUAUUGAAAUUUUAUUUCAUCUUUUUCUGAGCCUCGAGAAGUGAUUGCCUUUUAGUGCCUAUUAGGAAGUUAGCCAAAUUCUGCAUAUGUAAAAGAAAAAUUUUAGCACAUUAAAAGUUAUUACUUUAUCUCUCUGGGGGUAGAAGAAAUGAGAAAUUGCUGUUCUAAAAUUACCGUAACAAAAAAAUGGAAAGUGAUGGAAAUUUUAUGACUAAUUGUAUCUUUUUUGAUUUCCUAAGGAAAGAAGGGGUCAUUAAGUAUAGUGGACCAUGUACUCUAGAGGCACCUGCUGCCACAGUGUUGGCCACAGAUUGACAUCCAUGAGAGUUGGUUAGAAAUGCAGAAUCUCAGGUUCUACACCGGAUCUGCUGAAUCAGAGUUCUUGUUAUCAUGAGAUUCCUAGGUGAUUUAAAUACACAUUAAAGGUGGAGAGUCAUCGAUCUAGACCAGUGCUUCCCAGGCCUUUUCAAGUUAAGGUACAAAUGGAAAAUGAGCACAUUGCCUUACGGGCUGAGAGACCAGCCUCCCAGCACACCUGUCAGUUAUUUAUGACAGACUAGAAUUUAGGCUGAUCUAAAAACAAGAAAAAAAAAAAGGAGGCUGGGGGGAAGGAAGAUAGGCCUCCAUGGCUUGAGAUUUUGAUGUGACAGAAAGCACAUAUGGUUCAGGAGGAACAGAGCAGUCGACUAAUCAGUUGGGAAUGAUUUGGACCUUAUAAAGUGCUUGAUUGCAGAAGGAACUGUGAACUUGGGUGGAAGCAGACACAUGGUGGGGGGAGUGUGGAAGCUGUAGCCAUGGAUGAUAACUAACCACCACGUUUAAAGCACCUCCUGUUGGGGAGCCUGGGUGGCUCAGUCUCCAGCUUCCUGAGUUCGAUCCCCACGUCAGGCUCUGUGCUGAUAGCGGAUUCUGUGUUGCUCUUGCUUUCUGCCCCUCCCCUGUUCGCGCAUGCAUGCGUGCGUGCUCUCUCGCUCUCUCUCUCAAAAAUAAAUAAACAUUAAUUUUUUUUAAAAAAGCAUCUACUGUUUCCAGUACUGGGCUUAUUUUAUGUGUGCUGUUGCUAGUCCUUAAAAAGUCCCUGUAGGGGCACUUGGGUGGCUCAGUCAGUUGGGCGUCCGACUUUGGCUCAGGUCAUGAUCUUGUGGUUCAAGCCCCGCGUCAGGCUCUGUGCUGACAGCUCGGAGCCUGGAGCCUGCUUUAGAUUCUGUCUCCCUCUCUCUCUGCCCCUCCCCCACUCACACUCUGUCUCUCUCUCAAAAAUCAAAUAAAAACAUUAAAAAAAAUUUUUAAAAAGUACCUGUAAAACCUAGUCGUUUCCCUGUUACACAGAUGAGGAAACUAAGGCACAGAGGCCAGUGUCACAGAGCUAGUUUGUAAGAUGGAAUGGGCCUGUGACAGAAUUGUUAAGGCCAAGAAUGGAUGGACAUUUAUAUAAAAUAUUGAAGAUGAUACCAAAAACACACCUUUUGAAAGGAGAUUAGGCCCAUUUCUUUUUUUAAAUUUUUAUUUAAUUUUAUUUUUAAAAUUUACAUCCAAAUUAGCAUAUAGUGCAACAGUGAUUUCAGGAGUUGAUUCCUUAGUGCCCCUUACCCAUUUAGCCCACCCCCCUCCCACACCCCGUCCAGUAACCCUGUUUGUUCUCCAUAUUUAUGAGUCUCUUCUGUUUUGUCCCCCUCCCUAUUUUUAUAUUAUUUUUGCUUCCCUUACCUUAUGUUCAUCUGUUCUGUCUUAAAGUCCUUAUAUGAGUGAAGUCAUAUGAUAUUUGUUUUUCUCUAAUUUCGCUUAGCAUAAUACCCUCCAGUUCCAUCCACGGAGUUGCAAAUGACAAGAUUUCAUUCUUUUUGAUUGCCGACUAAUACUCCAUUAUGUGUGUGUGUGUGUGUGUGUGUAUACAUAUAUAUAUAUAUACACACACACACACACACACAUAUAUACACACGCACACACACAUAUACACACAUAUAUACACACACCACAUCUUCUUUCUCCAUUCAUCCAUCGAUGGACGUUUGGGCUCUUUGCAUACUUUGGCUAUUGUUGAUAGUGCUGCUAUAAACAUGGGGGUGCAUGUGCCCCUUCGAAAGAGCACACAAGUGUCUCUUGGAUAAAUACCUAGUAGUGCAAUUGCUGAGUCAUAGGGUAGUUCUAUUUUUAACUUUUUGAGGAACCUCCAUACUAUUUUCCAGAGAGGCUGUACCAGUUUGCAUUCCCACCAGCAGUGCAAAAGAGAUAGAUGAGGCCCAUUUCUUGGAAAAUGCAAAUGGUAUGAUUAGUUUGAUAUUUUUCUUCAUUUUUUUGUUUGUUUUCUUGUUUGUUUCCCUGCUUCUGCGAUUAGCUAGCAUCUUGCCUGCUUUUGGAAAUUAUUUCUCAGUUCACACACACACAGAAUGAUUGUUGAGAAGGUAAAUGCAUAACAAUUAUGGGAAAUACGCUGAGCCAGGAGAGGUACAUUGUUCCAGAAUAUUUAGGCUAAUGCUGAUUACUAGGUUUGAAUCCUUAACUCAGCAACUGAAAGAGAAAUACGUAGUUUUUGUGAUUUAAUAAAAGCGAUCAUACUGUAUUGUUAAAGUUUUCUGAAUGCAAAGCUGGAGAACAUUGGUCACAUCACAGACAAAAAUAAUUUAUUGAUAGGGUAUCUUACAGAUUGGAUGGAAACCUGUUUGGAAUGAGGGCAGUUCUUAUUUUGGGUCCGCAGGAACUAAUGACCAAUCUUUGUGGGUGCCCCCACAGCAUUUUCCUGUCCUUGCUGUCACUCAGCCUGAGGCAUGUUCACAGAAGAGUAAAUUCAGCUGGUCAAGCUUGAAUUGCAUGUCUGUGUCUUAGAUAAAAAAGGACAGAAACCUUGAUUUAUUGGGGCGCCUGGCUGGCUCAGUCGGUUGAGGGUCCGACGUCAGCUCAGGUCGUGGUCUCGCAGUUCGUGAGUUUGAGCCCCGCGUCGGGCUCUGUGCUAACAAACAGCUCAGAGCCUGGAGCCUGCUUCAGAUUCUGUAUCUCUCCCUCUCUCCCCCUCCCAUGCUCAUGCUCUGCCUCUCUCUGUCUCUCAAAAAUAAAUAAAUGUUAAAAAAAAAUUAAAAAAAAAAAAAGAAACCUUGAUUAUUGCUCCCCCUUAAAACUGCACGUGGUUGGACUAAGGUAAUCCCCACAAUGAAAUUAGGAUGCUUUUCUGUAGGGGGAAUAGGUGAGAGCCGGCUAGAAAAUGACACAUGUUCACUAGGUGCCACUUCAUCAGGAGACUCUCACUGUAACACUGAAUUCGGUGAGAACUUGUAACAACAUACGGAUAUUUAUAUUAUCUUUAUAUUAUUUAUAGUAUAGUUCAUUUUGCUGUGUAUGUGAUCAGUAAAUAGAGGAGUGAGGUCAGUGGAAUGUACAGUUUGUGCUGGUUCCUAUGCAGCUGUUCCUAAGCAAGAGGCAUGUGAAUAGAGGGGCAGAGUUUAUACUGUAUAAUUAAUCCUGUGUUAUAGUGUAGUCUUACAUUUUAGCAGAAAAGGAAAAAGUAGGUGAGAAUUUAAACCUUUAAUUUGACUGUUGCACUGGCAUGAACCCUUUCAUCUCUAUUUAAAAUGAAAUGAGAUAAUGAGCACCUGCGCCCUAGGCAUCUCUCCCCGAUGAGAAAGCCGGCCCUCCCCACCUCACACACUUGACUCUGGCAGGCCACCUUGCCUGCUGUGCUCACCUUCACAGAAACUCCAGGUUAAUCUGUAUUGUUUUGGUGCCUUCAGGCCAGCAUCUGUUGUUUUAGGUAUUCGAAAUAUUCCCUGAAGCAACCUUCAGCCGCUCUGGGGUGCCUACGUGGACUGUGGUAUUUCUUGAGGUAUAAUUAUUGAUGUAGGGAAAUGUGAUAAUCUGAUUUCUGAGCUGUGUAGGUUUUGAGGGAUCUGCCCCUUUCCCUGUGUUUUAUAUAAGCCCUUUUAUUUUUAGGAGCAUUUUCUGCGGAACUCUAGGUCUUCCCAGCCUCAUAAUACACAGUGUUACAGUAGAAGUUAUUACAUACAUGAGAAACAAUGAAUCAGAAUGUGUUCUAAAACUGUGUACUCAAAAAGAAACAAGAAUGUUUCAUAUGUAGCCUUAAAAAUCACCCUUGAUAAUGGCAAGAGUGUGUUAAUUGGUAAUUCUUUUUUUUUUUUUAAUUUUUUAAUGUUUAUUUUUGAGAGAGAGACAGAGAGCACGAUCAGGGGAGGGGCAGAGGGAGAGGGAGACACAGAAUCCGAAGCAGCUCCAGGCUCUGAGCUGUCAGCACAGAGCCUGAUGAGGGGAUCGAACUCACGAACCGCGAGAUCAUGACCUGAGCCAAAGUCAGGUGCUCAACCGACUGAGGCACCCAGGUGCCCCAAUUGGUAAUUCUUUGAAGUCAUCUUUAUGAGCAGUUAAUCAUCAAAUUCAGGAAUGUAGGUUUCUGACAGUCUUCUCUCAGUUACCUGCAUCCCACAUUCUAGGUGCUUCAUCAUCCAUUCCCCAAAUACUUACUAGCACAGGUGGGGGUGGUGACUACAGACUUGAGUGUUCACCCUGUGUUUCUUGGGUGGCCUUUCUUGAAUAGCAUGUCUUAAAUGUGCCCUCUUUACAGGUUGGGCAGUAAAUACAUACAGAGCAGUUGAUCUUGGGACCUUCUUGGGAAGGUUCUUUAAGGCUGAUAUUUAUGUGCAGAAAAGAUGAUGUGUAUAUAUAUACACACAAAGACAUAUAUAAAAGGUAUACUUUGGUUUGAAAAAUUGGUAUUCAGUUUAUUAAAGUUACAAAUUAAAGGAUACUGCUUUACUUUUUUUUUUUACCCUGCUUUACUUUAAAAAAGUCCAGUUUACUUAUCUUAACCCUUGUAAAUUAAACAAGUUUUAACAAUCACUUUUAAGGGCUUUUGAAUUAUGAUUGGUCUUAUUUAUAAAGUAGUUAGUAUCUUUAGUAUUUAGACUUGGAAAUAAUUAAAUAUUUGAUUUCUAUUGUUAAGGGAGCUAUUAACACAGAUCUUCUCAAAUACUUCUUAUAAAUAAAGUAAAUUAGACCUAUUAAUGAAGUGAACCUAAAAAGGUACCUUAGCUAUUUCAGUGCUGGGCAUAAACUUACUUAGGUUUCAAUCCCAACUGCAUGUUUGAAUCCAUUUCACAUAGAGAGACGACAUUCCAGCACAAUUUACCACUGAGGGUGGGCAGAGGUGGCGAGGGACAACUUCUGUGCUUUUAUUUCUUCAUAGGCCAAAUGGGGAUCAGAGUACCCACCUCAAGCCUGUGAUGGGGAUUAAGUGAGUAUACGUAGAUAUGGAGGGCUUCUUUAGAAAAGACCAGGCCUAAAAUAAAGUCCUAGGUUUUACUUUUUAAAAUUGGAAUUAUGGGUCUGUUGUUGUAAGCCAAAUUCCUUUAACUAUAAAAAGAAUAAAAAUAUCGAAUAUUUCCUGAUCUUCUUUAUUAAUCCAGAAAAUGUUAAUAUAGUAUAUAUUUUUUUUUUUUCUGAGAGAGAGGGCACAAGUGAGUGAGGGGCAGAGAGGGAGACAGAGAGAGAGAAGUAGGGCCACCUGAAGCAGGUUCCUGUUUGUUUGUUUUAAAUACCCAUAGCAGGGCUCGUGUUCACCUGAAGCAGGGCUCAUUCAUGCUCACCCAAAGUGGGGCUUGAGCUCAUCCAAUUCGGGAUUUGAACUCACAAACCGUGAGAUCAUGACCUGAGCCCAAGGCAGGUGUGUUUCACUGACUGAGCCACCCAGGUGCCCAAUAUACUGUUGAUUUUCUUAACUCUUUCUCAAUUCUAAAUCUUUGCAGGGAUAAAGGGUAUCAGUUUAAGGAGGUCAUUACUACCCCAGUUAAUUCGGGUGACUUAAUUUUUAACGACAGGCUUUUCAACUGUUCAACCUUUUCAGAUACGUACACCUGCUAAAGGAAGAUCUUUAUAGUCACUUAGCCCUCCAUCUCCAAAACUCUGAAAGGAGGCGACUUCUCACCUCGCCUCACCUAUUCUUUGGCCACAGAAGUCUGCAACUCUCUUGUGGUUGACUGUCUGCCCCCCUCCUCGCUUUGAAACAUUCAUUUCAGGUUUGCCUCUAUGGACAGUUGAACAUGAUGGGGAUCCCAGGGUGUAUGUGCUUCCUCUCCAAAAAUGAAGAUCUUUGGCCCUAAUAAUAGGAUUUUGUGUUCUUCACUUUCUCAGCCCUAUGUAAUCCUUAUGAAUAUUUAAAAUGUCUGGCGGCAUGCUCACUCGUUCACACGGUCUUGUCUGACUAGUGACAUCUUAUGAAGUUAUUCAGUGACACAGGAGUAGGCUCAGACACAACUUUUCGUUACUUAAAAGAUAUCUCAAUAAAGAAACUGGAAACCCACGGAAUUGCUGGCUAAAGUUAUUUUGAUAGUGGACAUUGCUCUCAAGCCUCUCUGUUGAUGUUAACGUGGCUCCUGUUGGACAUAGGCUUUGGCUUCAGGACCUCACUCUGGUGGGUCAGUCGUGGUGCACUCCUGGUUAUGAGUAAUUACGUGUCUGAAUUGGACUUGUGUCUAGCUAUGAUUUGAGUUUGCCAUAGUUGAUAGAGAGCUUUUGUUUUGGUGGUAUUGGUUAUCCAGUUUAGUUAUUGCCUCUUGAGACCCUUUCUGGAGUACAUCAUGUUGAAUAUGGAAAGCUGGCUUUUGUGUGUGUGUGGCGGGGGGGGGGGGGGGGUGUCACAGUAGACCCUGCAUCUAUCUAGCUAAUUCAAAACGUUAUAUGAAGUUAAAAAAAAAAAAAGGCAAGAUGCAGGGUUUAUCAAAAGCCCCUUCAUACUCGAUAUUUCGAUAAAAGGACUAAGAAGCCCAGUAUUUUUUUUUUCUUAAUCGAUGGUACGCAGCUUGCCUUAUUAAUACCCGUUCACAGAUAUCAGAGAGCAAGCUUACCUGUUCACUGUCACCCUGUCUGCCAAGUUGCGAACAUGGUUUUCACACAAGAAGGUACAAGAACUACAAUAAAGGAAGAAUGAAUGGUAAAGAAAACCAAACUAGAUGAGAAAAAUAGAUCAUCUAAAUUAGAUGGCAAAUGGAUUUUAUCUCCUUUUCCAGGUGAUUGAGGGUGAAUGUAGUACAUUUGGAAGGAGUGCUCUGAUCAAUUGACUGUGUUUUUCUUGAGUGCAGAUAUGGGAACGUUUUCCAUCCCUGAUCUGGAUUCACAGAUGAGCUGAGUUUUUAGCCCAGAUGAUGAGGGACAUGACAAGGGAUUUGGAGACGUGAUGUUAGAGGCACUCUACUGUCCUUGUUAAGGCGUUAGUUAAAAGCUUUAUUGUGUAUGUGUCAGGCUAGUAUACUUGAUAUUACCUCUAGAAAAAUUCUUGAGCAAUUUAUAAACAUAACACUGCAGAUCAAAUGUGUCAUUUUCAAAUCAAAGCCCUUUUAUAGUGUAGUCUUCUAUGGCAUAAAAUUUACAUUGCCAUUUGAGCUGCUUUACUUGUUUAGUUAGCAUUUCUAGAGUAGUGGUCAGUAAACUUUUUCUGUAAAGGGCCAGAUAGUUAAUGUUUUCAGCUUUGCUGUAGGCCAUGGAGUCUCUGUUGUAACAACUCGAUUCUGCCCUUGUGUCAUAAGAGCAGCAAUAGAUAGACAAGAUACAAAUGAAUGGGCAUUGCUGUGUUCCAAUAAAACUUUAUUUGUGGACACUGACGUUUAGAGUUGUGUUAUCUUCACAUGUCGAGAAAUAUUCCCUUCCUCAAUUAAAAUAUGUAAAAACCAUUCUUUGCUUGUGGGUCUUACAAAAACAGGCAGUGGGGUCAGAUUUGACCUAUAGGCCAUAGUGACAGUCUCUGCUGUGUGGGUUUCCUGCCAUGACCUCUAACUCUGCCUGUUCUAAUAAUCCUUAAACUUCUUUCACCACCUAGUAUUUUGUGCUACCUUUAAAAUUUUAAUUUGCUUUAUCUAGUUAAAUUAAAAAAAUACUUUUUAUUUGCUUGUAUUGUUGAAACUUGUUGACAUUAAGUUGUAAUUUUUCCUGCUUCUCAUCAGACUCUAUGAGGCAUAGAAAGAUGCUUUAUGAAUAAGGUAGUUGUUGGGAUCCCCCCCACCCCAUCCCCCACCAGCCCCCCGGUUAAUUCAGCAUACAUUCUUCUCAAGAAGUUUGCCAGUGGAGAAGAUAUCCCUGUGAAGUAGUUGCCAUCCCAGGUCAUGCCACUUUGAAGCCCUGUGUUUUUUUCUGUGUUCUUUUUGAGUGUAUAUACAUCUCCCCUACAUAGAAACUGAAUGAGGAAAGAAAGUAAAUUAGUUCUUAUGUCACCAUUAUAAACUGGCCCAAAUCAUCAAUAUCUCCAGAGACGGUAUCACCUCACAGUUGUGUGAUGUGUUUUGGGAGUCUUAUUUGUCGGUUGGUUGUAAAAGCAAGCCAGCAAGCAGCCUUCCAGAGACUUCUCUGUCCUGCACAGAACCUGGAGAAACUGGAUUAACACCACAGCAUGGGGAGAGACCACAGAGGGGCGGGGUUCUAUUGUUUGAAUCUCCAAGCCGGAUACCGAAAUCAGCCUGAUGGACUGUGACGAACAGAGUCCCAAUCACAGUGGAACAAGAUUUAUAUUUACUUAGAGUCUAAUUGGACUGAGAUUUCCUGCAGUUAUGUUAAAAUCCUCGGCCCUUUUGCUUAGUGAGCAAGCGUUUGAACUCCUAAGCUCUGGAGGUUUAGCUUUUGCUGGCUCAAUUAAUUGUUAAAUGUUCCCUUUAUUAUAAUUAUACAUCGAUGCCUUGCUUUGUAGUAGCUGAGGAAAUUGCUGAAAGAGUUGUUUAAUCUGUUACACUCUAUCAGUUUUGUAAAAAGCUCUUUUUAAAAGGAAACAAUUUUGAUCUGAAGUGGCAUGGUGAUAUUUGAGUUGGAGAGCAUCAUUGAAAUUGAAAUGCUGGAAUUUGGCUCCACUCAUGACAGGGAUUGGCUUGUAGUUGACGUUGACCCAUGUGUUUGUCAUCUUUCCAGAUGCUGCCUUCUAUUUAUUCUGACGGCUUCACCAGCUGAGAAAACCAGACUUUCCAAGAUUAAAAACAUUGUCUGUGAAUUUAAAGAUGGAGCAGGGUUUUAUGUUUGUUGACUUACUUUAAAAUGGAUGUGUACAAGAAUGUCUUCCUUUUGUAAAGCAUUUAAGUACUAUAGAAUAGAUACUUGUGUACAUGAGUUUUCCUUUGAAGAUAUCUGAAUACCGUGAAAACUACCAAAAGUAAAAAUACGCUUUUCUACUCCUUUAUAUGUUUGUGUUGGUAUAAAUUUGGUAAUACAUUUUUAAUAUGCUGAAAUAGACAGGAGCAGUUAAAUAAGUUACCUGGUUCUUUUAGGUUAACGCUUAAAAUGCCUGGAAAUGGGGCCCCUGAGUAGCUCAGUUGGUUGAGUGUCCAACACUAGAUUUCAGCUUAGAUCAUGAGACCAGGGUCAUGGGAUCGAGCCCAGUGUUGGGCUCUGCAUGGAGGAUGGAGCCUGAUGAAGAUUCUCUCUCUCUCCUUCUGUACCUCUCCUGCUUGUGCAUGCUCAUGCACUCUGUCUCUCUUUCUCUCUCUCUCUCUGUUAAAAAUAAAUAAAAUGCCUGGAAAUGGAUAAACUUCUAAAGUCACAUUACCAAGUCUAUUAUAUUCACACAUAAUGACCCUUUAUCAUUAUGAAUACCUUAAGUAUCCAGUACCUUUACAUCUUUUUCAUUAUUUCACCCUUAAAUAUGUGCUCAAACUAAUCAGGCAGCAUACUAUAUGCUAUAUAUGAAAGAAAGUCUACAUUUGUUCACUCAUUUGACCCCUGAAUUCAUUUUCUCACUUCUAUUUCUAAAUUUCCCGAUACAGUUGCCUUUAGAAGGAACACCUCUUCAGUGUUGUCCAGUUUUGAUGCUUAGUGAAAUGUAUAAACCGAACUGUAAAAUACAAAGAUAGAGUUGUUUUAUAUUCCCUCUAAAGGCUGUAGGCGUUGUUCUGGCUUUCUUUGUGUGCUGGGCAGAUGUUGCUGCUUGACAGAUGGUGUGUUAGUGGCUUACCUUAACCUGAUCAAUAGAGAUUGAUACAGUAAAACGAAACGUUGGGGGAGUUGGUUAUAUAGCUUUAAGUUCCUUUUAAAGAAGGGGGAAUGGAGUGAGUUUAUAAUACUUAUUUUUAAUCUUAUUUCAGUACGUUACUUUUCAUUAUUCUCAGCUUUUACAUUAACAUUUUAAUUUGUGCUCCGUUAGUAAAGCUGUGGGUAACUGUAGGCUCUGAGGCAGGCUGUUGUUAUUCUCAGGUGGUAGUUUUCCCGCUUGGUCUGUCAUCCUCCUGUGCUGGUAUUGUAAAACACAGGCACUGUGCACACAGUUACCAAAUUGAUUGAGGGCUGUUAACCAUACUUUCGAUAAUUACAAUUUUUUUUCCUCUUUAGUAGAGGGAAGGGAAAUGUCAAACAUCUCACCUGGUAUGUUGUGUUUUUAUAUUGUCAGGAACAGUAAAAGCUAAAAAGUAGUGUUUUAAUGACCACGAAUCCAUAGUGCAAAAAUAUAACUAAAGUUCUGGGGUUAGUGUUUGAGAAUUAACGCCAGCAGCAGCAUUCAGACUUGGGAGAGAUCAUGCUUCUUCCUUACAAGGGGUUUUAUACCCCACGUUGCAGGCUGAAUGAUGGAUACCUGGGUUCCAGUUUGCUCUGUGUGCUGGCUAGAAGACCUUUGGAGGGAGAAAACCCCUGGCCUGUCUUUCAGGCUUAUCAACUAGAAUGCUUUUAAAGUUUGCACCUAUCCAAAAAGUAGAUAUUUGGCAUCCUGGACUUGGAGUGCUUUUGGCGCUCAGAUCCCAAUUGGCGGAGGCUGCCUGUGGGGAGAGACCCGCGGUUUUGUUGUCUUUUACUUCUGUCCUCUCCCAGCUGCUAGGAUAUUCAGUGCUGUGGCAUCCGGUAGAGCCACGUGUGGAUUUCCAACUCCCAUUUCAGUAUUGCUUCUGUAACUCACCUUCUGUGCAGACUAGAGGUGGUCCCAUUUUGUGUUCUCUCCUCUGGAUUCACCUGUACCUUUUUGCCUUUGCCCUGUGAAUGCGCUUGUAAAACUUGGCUAUAGGUCUUUCUUUUUUUUCCCUCCCCCCCGCAGAAUUUCCCUCCUGCAUUUGUUCUUUUUUUCUUUCUUUUUCAUGAGCAAACAAUAUGGAAAUGGAAAUGUCCACAUAAGCAAAAAUUAAAAAUCUCCAAACCACGAACCUAUUGUUAUUUUGUUGUGUGUCCACUUUCCAUAGUAAACAACGUGUGGGAUUAGGCUGUUCACUGUUUUGUAAUAAUGCUUUUGAAAUUAACGUGUCCUGAAUUUAUUGUCAUGCCAGUAAUUAUAAAUUUGAAUCAUUACUGCUGCAUAUUAUACCAUUAAUACUGGAGUUCUCAACCUGGAAGGGUCCAUGGUCACCUCAGGGGAAUGUGAAUAUAAUUCAGGAGACUGUGAACUUGGGUGGGUAAAAAUUGUAUCUUUAUUUUCAGCAAUUCAUUACGUUUCACAUGACAUUUAGCAUUCAAUUAUGCUUCAAUUAUGAAGAUAGGCAAUAAGCCAUAGUAAUGUUGGCAGUAACUGUGACACCAAUAUAAAUCACAGGUAUUCCUAUAUCACAUAACGUAGAGAAAAAUACCUGAAAAUGAUGUCACUACUUCAAAAUUAUGAAUGUUAUGAAGGGAAUAAACUUUAGUUAAUUUUAUUAUUUAAUGAGUCAAUAAAGAGGUACAUGUAUUACAAAUAUUUUUUUCUCAUGCCACGAUAAGUAUUUCAGUGCAUGUUUUGUGUGUGUGUGUGAAUGUAAAACAAAAAAAACUGUUUUUGAUAAGUUGUAUAUAGAUUGCUAAAGGCAUCUGUGGCAUGAAAAACAUUAGGUGGACCCACAUUAGUGGAUCGAUAUCAUAACAACUAUAACAACUAGUUGUUUAUUGUUGGAUUUUAGGUUCUUUCCAAAUAUUUUCCAUUAUAAACAGUAGUGGUGAAAAUUUAUAUAUUCAUUUCUGCUCACUCUCCCUAGGAAUAGAAUUGCUGAGUUAAAGGGUAUGUCUGGAUGUCCGGAGAUUUUUCAUGUACUGCUAUUACAACUUUUUUGAAUUAGCCCUCAUGUACAACGGGACUUUGGCCUCUGCAAGUGGACUGAAUUUGUGGUUUUGAAAUAGGAAAAGCGUUCUCUAGUUAGAGCAGAAGACUUUACAUCAUCUUUGGAUAGUAAAUCUUCACUUCAGAGAAUGGAUCAGAAACAUUUGUGCGCUCUGUUUUUUAUCUGCACUUAAUGGCCUGGAAAGAGGAGCUAAAGCUGUGACAGACAUUAGAGAGAAUGUCUUCUUUCUAGUAUGGAGUAAAAUAUGGAUUAUAUUCUGAGACCUUAGUGGAAUAUGAAUUCUGGUCAGCAUUAACUUUUACAAAUGAUAAAACGUUCCAGAAAAUUUGGUUGUCAGUGGUGCCUGUGUUUUUGUUGGAGGAACAGCCACGUGUUGUCUCUGAAGUCCUGAAAUCAGACCCACGAGGAAGUGGAGAAGAACGGGAAAGCCCGAGUGGUGCCAGUGGACACUAUCAACCUGCCCCCUACACACGAUGCCGUUCAACUUGCAUGAGAAGCUACCUUCCCUUAUUCCUACUUGUGAAACCCUGGGUUAGAGUCACAGCUUAGAAACUUGACUUAGUUGUGACGUCUCUUCAGGGAGGCAGUUGUAGACUUUGUUCUGCUUUAUUGUAUCUGCCUCUGGGGAUUAAUUCUUAAUCCUACUGGAAAGUAAUAGUGUAUGCUAUCUAAUCAGGCUAUUUUAGUCAUCCUGAAUUGAGCACUGCAUUCUAUGUUUUUAUACGCUUGUUAGGGUUAUCUGCUCCUUCCUAGCUUUUCCUAUUAAAAAAAAAUUAGAAUGGUUUUCCCAAAUCAUUGUUUUGCAUGUCACUUUGUUCAUGAAUGUCAUUUAAAUAUUUUGCCCUGUUUUAAAAUGAAGAUAUGUGUAUACGUUGGCCAGAAAGGCCGAACCGUGAAUAGUAAGUUCUUGGCCUGGCUCUUAAGCUACAGUCAGAGGUUUUGUCAUUUUAUUGUGUGUGGCCUCCAUUCCCGGUGUCAUUUGUGAUCCAUUUCAUGCUCCACCUCCAGCCAGUACAUUUGCCUUCAGGCUGACAGGAAGGAUAAGGAGAGCAGGACCUCCUCCUUCAGUAAUCAGUUUCCAGAAGUUGAAAUACAGCAGUUCUGUUUAUAUCCCAUGACCAGAGUUCAGUCAUUUUAUAAAACCAGCUCUAAUGGAGGCGGGCCACAGUAAGCAAGAAUGCUAUGCUCCCCUAGCAGUCUCCACACAGACACUAAAACACAAGUGCAAUUAAAAUUAUUGCCUACAUAUAGUUAUGUUUUUAUUUCCACGUCCAGCUCUGAUACUAGAUGGUGAACUUGUCAAGGGAAGGACAGUAUUUUUAUUCAUCUCAGUAUCUCUAGCACUUAGCUGGUUUGUAGCUGGUGCCCAGUAAGUCUGUGUGUGAACAUUUUAUAAGUUUAUGAUUAUGUUUCUUGUAGCAUGUACGUAUCUUCAUUUUUUAGCUUUAAUAUAAUAUUGACAGGAUUUGCCUUUACUACUUCAAAUAGAGAAGUCUCAUUUCCCCCCCAAAGUUCUGAUUCAUUUCCUCUCAGCAGAUGUUCAAAACAUGAUUUUUACGAGGUACAGAUUACAGAGAGGAAAAGUCUCAUUAAGUGUUAUAUUGGCCCAAAGCGGCUGCACGCAGGUUUUGAAGCGGGUUGGGCGCAGUUUCAUGUAGAAAGCGGCCAGAGCUUCUUAACACCAGAAGGUAAACUGAAUCUCUCGUCAUUCUUGGGAAUCAAGGCGCAUUGAGAUCCUUUAAAUACUGCUACCUUGCAUAGAUCUUUGCUAAUUUUGAUUCUAAAAGUGACAGGUAGAUGGCGAUUAGCAGAGCAGGUUACCAGACAGCAUCCCCCUCUCCCCACUCCCACCAUUCUGGCCUGAGAAUGAUGUAGCAGAUUACCAGACAAGAUCCCACCUUCCCCCCAUUCUAGGCUGAGAACGAUAUAUAUGUUACAAAGCAAAAUUGCCACAUGUAGAAUGCCAAGGAGGUAGGUAAUUGGAAAUCGUUGUGUAGGUGGAAUUUUUUCUGCAAAUACCUGUUGAGUACUUAUAAAAUGACAUAAUUCACAGUGGGCUGAAGAUCUUUAAUGGAAAUCUGAGGUCUCCAUAUUUUUUCAGUCAUGUGAAAGUGAGUAGAGGUUUUAAAUUAUUUUUGAAAUUUCUUUGGUCUUUGACUUUAAUUUUAAAAUAAACACCUGACCAAAAACAAUAGUAACAACAACAAAAACCCAAAUUAAAACAAUAAUGAUUUAAGGGGAGAGGGAAGAGGCACGGAUAGAAUGAGAGUCAGGGAGUAGGUUUCAUUUGCUCUUAGAAGUUUAUAUAAAUUAAAGCUGAGAAUAAAUUUGAGGGCUGGAGUAGUUUUGGAAUAAGCUAGUAGAAUUUAAUGAGGUAUGUUAGAUGUCAGCAAUAGUAUUAGUGACAUAUCGAUCAGUCGAUAACAUAAUACAAUCUUCUGUAUCUAUAACUUUGUGCAAGGCGUUUUGUGGAGGUGAGGCGGGGCAAGAUACAAAAGUAGACAGGAUUCUAGUUCUUGAUCUUUCAUUUUAUAGGGAGAAAUUAUUCAAGUAGGGUUGUGCGUUAGUAACUGGCAGGCAGUGAGUGGGCAAAUACUAACUGAAUAGGACAGACUAUAAGUUGGUGAUACUGCGGAAAACAUGAAGGACCAUGAAGACCUUGAUUUGGGUCUUGGAGUUGGGGCAGAAUUACAAUGGGACCAGGUAGACGCAGAGCAUCUCUAAUAGGGGCAACAGCAUGAGGGAGUUCAUGGAACAGGGCAUAAUGUGGUUAUAGGCGAUUCAGGGACCAGUUAAGUAGAUGUAAAUGUCCACUGAAAAAGAAUGAAAAGAGUAGCUUGUGGUUUUCUUUUCCUUCUCAUGCUUUUGUGUGAAUUGCAAUUUGUCAGUCAGUGAAUGACUCUGGUGGUUAUAAUUUUGGGGUAGCAAAUUCUGGAUGCUUGCCUUAUUAUUGUUUGGCUCUUGAUUUGAUAAGUUUCUUUUAAGGCACUUUUUUGCAUGCCUUUUUCUCUGUUAAGUGUUUCUCACACAGCUGUGUGGAUGUUUAGGUGACAGACUGAUCACUCAAGAAGAGAAUCACUCAUGGGAUUGUGUGGCCUGGUAAAUGAAACCCAGGUAAAUUUCUGUGAAACAGAGUUAUCAGUCUCAGAAGCAAUUCAGUAGAAUAUUAAUAUGUGUCGUGUACCUUGUUUGUAGAUCUAAAUCCAUAUGGUAAGUUUAACCUACUUUUAAUAAACGUCAGUUAAUGUCUACAUUAUGAUUUAUUUGAAAUAUAUAAGAAAAUUGUUUAAUAGUCAAAAAAAAAAGUAGGAAAUUUUAAUUUUUUUUUUUUCAACGUUUAUUUAUUUUUGGGACAGAGAGAGACAGAGCAUGAACGGGGGAGGGGCAGAGAGAGAGGGAGACACAGAAUCGGAAACAGGCUCCAGGCUCUGAGCCAUCAGCCCAGAGCCCGACGCGGGGCUCGAACUCACGGACCGCGAGAUCGUGACCUGGCUGAAGUCGGCCGCUUAACCAACUGCGCCACCCAGGCGCCCCAAAAGUAGGAAAUUUUAAUCUUCAGUGUUGCUACCUAAAAAAAAACCCCAUAAUAGAGCAUCUCUCUGUCAGACUGAGAACUAAACUUUUAUUUUCCCAGCCGUUAGUUAUAUUUAAGUCCUAACUCUUUCUGAGAAGUUGGUAAUAAAUACUUGAAUGGGAAGAAAUAUUUUAUGAACAUAUACAUUAGUCUUGCAAGGAAGGCUUAUAAGAUGUGGAGCCUAUAAUGCACACACACAAAUAAUUGGUGUGGGAAAUUCUGUAGCUUGAUGCUUGAACUGUGAAACAGUUGCUUUUACAAAAUUGAGAGCUGCAGACUACAAUUAACUGUCAUUAAUUUCCUUGAAUAGAAAUAUGUUCCAUUUACUGUACAAUCAGGAGCCAGGCUUGAAUGAGUUUAAAUAGAUGAAAUCUAAAUUAUACUGACGGUCCAUUAAACACUAGCAGAAAAACCGUAAAGAAAAUGGAUUCACUAUGAUACCAGUUUAUAAUAAAAUCAUUUGCCAAAUAAGAAUUAUAGUCCAGGCAUUGUGAAUUCUCCUGUGUAUUUCCAGUGAGCACUGCAAAUUGGUUGAGCCAUUUAUUGUGAAGCACAGGCUCCCAGCGCAUUGUUUUCUGAGUAGGAGCCAGCAGUGUUGCUUGAAAUCUGCUCUGCAGGACAUGACACCAGAUCAGACUAGCGAUUUGUUUGUUGUCAGCCAUGUGGGGCGAGAGGAGCCUUCACUCCAGCCCACCACUGCUUGUUUCUUCCUGUGAUUACUGGGCAGAGUGUUCCUACAAGUGUUUGAACUCUAUCUGCGUUGGUUUCCUAAAUGUACAUAUUUCAGCCGUGUUCCAGUUUGUAAUCUUUGCCGUGGGGACCUGUUGUUAUUUUCAUUAGCAAUCAGUCAUCCUCUCCUAAAUAGCAAAUUUAUAGCAGAAUUCAGUUGUUCGAUAGGAUCCACUGAUUUGAGGGUGGGGUUGUCACCCACCUUCUCAGGCACUAAAAAGGUAGGUACAGUGUGGCAGCAGGAGUGAGAGUGGGCUUGAAAUCCGCCUCCUCCAUGUCUCUGGCGCCCUCACUAACACACUUUGCUUCCAUGGGGCAGGUGCCACUGCUGAUUUUUAAAGGUAGAUCCUCCUCUCCCCGCUAGAUUCUGUGUGUUCUCUUACGGCACAAAAGCUCUGCACAAACACAGUCGUUAGAAACUGUAAGAGAGAUCCAUAUCACUUAACCGGAGUUUGGGUGUUAAGCUGCCUAGGUCUUUUUCACAAUUGGGAUUCAGUGUGGAUCACAAGGAGGGCUUUUUAAGGAACGUUUGCAGAAGGAAAUGGUGAUAAGAGUGCUUCAGACGCUCUUUGCUUGAGUAAGAGUGUUACCCUAGGGCCAGUCCUCAGAGCUUCAGAGUAACUGGUAAGAUUGCUGCUGCGGGCGGCAUGAUCUUGCUUUCUCUUGUUUUACGGAGUUUUCAAGCCCAUGUAGCGUAUGAUGGAUUUGGGGGGGGGGGAGUGUGGUGGGCGGGGUCUUGCUGCAGCAGUUAUUCCAAAACCUCAGCAUCACUUCUUCAAGUUAGAAAGAUGAUUGUUUUGGAUCAGUCUUUAAGCUUUGGAUGUUCUAGACGAUUUUCUGACGUCUAGAGGAGGAAAUGAAAAGUGGGAAAUUGGAACAGAGUCUCUUUUAGUUAUGACCCGCUCCCCCCACCUCCCAGCUGUCUUUUCUCAUCAUCUAAUUUCCUAUUAGCAGUGAGGAUAAUGACAGAUGGAUAUUUGCUAGAAGUAUAUGGUCUUCUGAUUUUGGAUAAAAGCCGGUGUUAGCUUUGUAGUGCUAGUUGGGAACCUGUAGACAUUGGAAUACAUGGAAUUUAAUUUUCAUGAAGUUUAAAAAGGAAGGGACCAAGGAUGUGUUACUUGAGAUCUUUUUUCCACUGAGUUUAGAAUCUUUACGAUGUUGCAGGUCAAUUUUGGUGACUGUUUUCAGGGUCUGAACAUAGGAUAAAGGUAAACACUUGAGAGGAUUUCACUUACUGAGGUUCUGUUUUCCCAGUUUUUGUUUCCUUUUCUCUUUUUAGUUCUCCACUGUUCCCAGAUGAUGUGUCCCUUGCACACUGAAGAAUCUGGUAGAAAACUAAAAAGACAUUCCUGCAGUUAUUUCUUAAAGAAAUAUUCAUUAGAAAAUAGCAUCCUUUAUGUUCAUACUGAUGGAGCAGAACAACAUUCUUUUUUUAAUAAUUUUUAAAAAUCUUUCUUUUGAGAGACAGAGACAGAGACAAAGUGUGUGAGCGGGGGAGGGGCACAGGGAGAGGGAGACACAGAAUCCGAAGCAGCCUCCAGGUCCGAGCUGCCAGCACAGAAACCAGCGUGGGGCCCAAACUCACGAAACACGAGACCAUGACCUGAGCCGAAGUCGGACGCUCAACCGACUGAGCCCCCCAGGUGCCCUGAGCAGAACAACAUUCUUAUGAGGAUCUCAUAGAACUUCUUUUGUGUUUUUGUUCAGGUCAUUUGUUCCUUGUGUAAUUUUUGAGUAUUUAUUCUGGAAUGUAGUGUAUUGUUAGAUACAGAGUGGGGAAUGGUGAUGGAUUUGACUGUCGUACGGAUGGGGAGGCUGCUGAAGCGGUGAGAGGGGCUCCUCCAUCGGAGGCCACGCUCUGUGGGUUGGGAUUUCAGUGUUGUUUCUCGCAUGCGCAUAGAGCUGCAUUACCCUUCUGUAUGUUGGGCAUUUGGGAACACCCGUAUUAACUAGUGAGAUACUUGCAGACUUUUGAUUCUAUCACAAUAGACCAGUCGGCUGCUACCUCACUGAAUGGUUCAGUGUCUGGGUGGAGGAAUCCUGUGUAAGAGAAAUGGAACAUGGAAGAACAGAGCAGUCCUGAGAGUGUACCUCCUUGUCCACCACUGUGUCACCCAGCUGGGUCUCUGGGAAAUUUAUUUGUGAGAUAGUCUGUUUAUGCAUGCCUCCCCCCCUUUUUUUUAAACAGGUAGAAGAUUUUCCAUUGGAAAUUAUAUUGGAGUUCCUUGCGAAGGAACGAGAAGGUAUUUCAAAGAUUAAAAAGCAGAAACACAUUAACAGGAGGGAAAUUCUUUAAAGGACAGAGCACCGUGGCCAAGCACUGCCUGUGCAUUGUGACCCCAGCUUUAAUGCUGGGCUCACAGUGCUGCUUGCCCAAUCAGUUGGUGAAGGAGAGUGUCCACUGUGCUCUGGGAGGAGGCUGUCAGGAAGGACGCUGACAGGUUCUUUGUGUUUCGGGAUGACAAACUGCCUGAUGCUUCAGGCUGUGGUUUUUACCCUUGAGAGGACCAUGCUCUUGCUCUAUUUACAUAAACCUGCUGAUUUGCUGAGGGUUGUUGAAAGCAGAGAGGGCUUUCUUUGCCUUGAGAAUCUGCCUUCAUGUUUUGGCUGACUUCCUUCCCCAGCUUAGCAAAUGCUCUGUUGUUUGCAGAUGGCACAAUAGAUUCUUGGACACAGAGCUUUGUCGAGGUUGUGAGAAAUAGCCAAAAACGCCCCUGUUCAGUAUCAUUGCAUAGAUCAUGGAUGCAGGAUUGAGGUCACUCAAUUGUGUGAUCCAUUCCCUGGCAGAGGCUUGGUGUUAAGAGAGCAAGCCUCAACCUAGACCCGUGGUUUUAUUUCAGACACCCCUGGUAGAGGAAAAAAAAUUAGUUAUCAUGUAUUGUUUGGAAUAAUUGAUACCGAUGGUAAUGGCCUCACUCAUUUUUCUGGCCUAUUUCAGGCUUGCUGAUUUUAAGAUUAAAAAAAUAUAUAUUUGCCCUGCAGCACCCGUUUACUCAAUCUGGUAAACACGCAUUUUCGUAUGGAUAAUUUUGAAAAUGUGCAUUAUGCACUUAAUGGAUUGCAUCAGCUUUGCUCAGGUUUUUCAGAACUGCUAGCUUUGUGAUAAAAAAAAAAAACAGUUUCUUUCUUUCUUCAUUUUUCUUUUCUCCUUUUCUCUUUACUUUCUUUCCUUCCUUCUAAGAAAAAAGGUGUCUGUAGUACAUGUGUUGGCCAUGGGAGAUUUUCAGGUUGAGGCUCAUUGACCCUACUGACAGAAACCAAUUUUAUCACUUCAGACAAUCUAUGCACUUAUAAACUGCAUGAAGAUUCUUGGCAAAUCAUUUUGGCUUUAAAAGAUUACUGGGCAUAUAUUCCAACUGAGAUUUUUUUUUUUUUUUAAUUUUUUUUUCAACGUUUAUUUAUUUUUGGGACAGAGAGAGACAGAGCAUGAACGGGGGAGGGGCAGAGAGAGAGGGAGACACAGAAUCGGAAACAGGCUCCAGGCUCUGAGCCAUCAGCCCAGAGCCUGACGCGGGGCUCGAACUCACGGACCGCGAGAUCGUGACCUGGCUGAAGUCGGACGCUUAACCGACUGCGCCACCCAGGCGCCCCCCAACUGAGAUUUUAACAUUGCUCUUUACUUAUGUUCUCAUCUUUCCCUUGCCAAAUAAACCACUUUAUUUUUGUGCUCACUAAAAACAUCUAUAUAAAGUUAUUUUCUUAAAUAGUUGCUUAAUUAAUGAGACAAGAGAGAAAUAUUUUUUUAUUAUGAGUAUUUGGCCUCAUUUAACCUUGUUUUGAAAAUCAUUAAGGUAACACUAAGUAGUUUAUUUUUCCCUGUGAGACUUGAAUUCCAAAUUGUUCCUUAGGAUGUGUUCUCUUUUAGUUGGACCAUCCUAAUUUUUAUGAGAGGGUGAUAAAGAAAAAUUUGACUCUACGAUAAUUUCUCAUGCUUUUACUUUUAUAAUGAAUUUAAAAAGUCAGGUUAAAACAGUGUAUUUUUUUUUUCCAUUUUCUGUGGCAAGUUAGACAUGGUAAAAAAGUUUAUAUUACCCUUGAUCUUAGUGAUUCUGUGUUUUACGAUUACUUAAAUAAAAGACUUUAAAAAUUUUGUUAUUUAAUUAUGAAGUGAGCUUAUCUUUUUCAUGUAUAAGUUUCCAAAUACUGAUAGAGAUCACUGGAUACAGUGACCUGUUUUAUAGAUGAUUAGUCCUGUGCAUUGGAAUCUCCUAUAUGGAUUUAGAUGAAUUUGGGUUGACAUGGUAGCUUUUUAAACAGAAAGAGGUGACUUUUUAUCUAUUAAUAAGGUAUUAAUAAGUAGAUGUAGUAAUUCCAUGUGUCAGGUUUAAGAAUCUUUCUCACUCGGCCUUGUUCCUAAUGGCGGCAUUCCUUGGGCCAAGGGGUGUGAGUCGGCCUCCAGGACUGCCAAAAUCUUGUUAAGGGCAGGGUUAUCAGGGGCCAUCCUCGACAUCCCAGUUUAUUCCUUUCCUCCCUUCUCUAAGAGAGUUACAUCCAGGAAUAUUUACAGAUAAUCAUUUUCCUGAAUGUAACUUUGCAGUGAGAAAUGAAAGAUUAUAGAUUCUCUUUCCUUUUCUGGAAAGCUUUUUUUGUAUACAAGUUAAUAGCUACUUUAAGUCUCAGAGUUAGAGGGUUUAUAGUUACAGUGAUUCUGUUGAUUAUGGAAAGUAUACAAAAAGCUUUUUUUAAGAAGGGAGGUGUUGCCAUUUCUUUACAGAGGAGCCUCAUGAGAAUUGACUGCCUGGGGAACGAACUCAUUUUAAAGUAGGUGCUGGGGACAUGAAGGAGUGAAGAGAAUUUGGCAUGGACAGAGUAAUGGAGUUUUGGAUACUAUAGCCCAGUGGAGGUUGAGAUGUAGUGUAGGACCAAAGCAUCAUAUGCAGCAUGUGUUUUUGUCCAAUGAACUUUAAGAAAGUGGAAGUCAUUAGGUAGGAGGUAACCCAUUUGUUCUGAAGUCAGUGAAUAUAGUUAGGUGUGACAGUGUUAAGAGAUACAGAAGACAAGGCUUUUCCGUAGGAGGUGGGUGAAAGGAAGAGAGGGCCUGUAGACUAAUUUGUGUUCAGGUUGAGUGAGACAGAUACAUAAUAGGUAUCUAGAGACUUGAAAUACUGGUACUUGGUACAACAGGAAUUGGACACAGAAAUUAAGAUCCUUGGGUUGUUCCAAAAUUGUUCAAGUGCAGUGUUUUUAAUCUAGGAAACGUUUUUACUUGAAUACCAAAUUAGGGGUAGUGAGACAAACAUCUGCCGAAGUGGGAAGAGUUCUCUUGUUUCUUAAGAUGAUUGGCAUGUUAAAUGGACGUUGCCUGAAUAUUGAGCAGAGUUAUCUAGCAUCCUGGACCCUGGAAUAACAGAGAAAGUUCAGUCAACAGAUUAUUCCUGAGCUACUGUUGUACUUGAAUUGAGGGAUUGAAUCUUUGUUGUUGAGUCUACAUCCGAAUAAAGAAAUCAGUUUGGGACGUUCUGGAUGCCUAGAUGAUUGGCAUUCAGAUUUCAUUUUCUGGAUUGACUGGGCUACAAGAAUCCUGAUGUCUUUCAGGAAGUUUCUUUUUUUUUUUGGAAGGAAGUGUUAUUGGUGAGGGCUUUCUUCAUGAUCCACCUCUUACUGGGUCAGCUAGUGCUUGUGGUGGUACUGGACUGUCCACUGGAUGGAUGACUCCAGAUUUCUGCUCCUUUUCUUGUUCUUGACUCCGCGUGUGUGAAAUAAGGCAGUAGAGGAAUCUGCUUGUAUUCUCAAGCAUCUCAGUUAUUUCAAGAUACACUCACUGGGAAGGAUCAUGAGGAAGGAUAAAACAAGUGGCAUUUUGAAUGUGGGUAUCAUGGUCGUUAUCCCUAGAAAAUUUGAUGGACUGCAGAUGCCUUUACUUCUUAGUAAAUAAUACAUAGAGAUUCCUAUUCUAAGCUUUAUGAUGAUCUUGGGUUGUCAUGUGGAGAGUUAGUUAAAGUCCCUUUAUAGCUACUGCUUCCCUUAAAAUCAUUGCUUCCUUAAAAAAAAAUGUAUCUUAACCUGCCAUUUUAAAGAUUUUAAACCAGCCCUUUAGAGGCCAGCUAUCGAGAGCAUCAGAAAUAAUUGCCCAACCAUUGCCGUGUCAAAUAUAAUUUAAGAAAGCACACUCUUAUUCCCUUGAGAAAAGUGUGGUUUGGUUUACUACAUCCCAUCUGAUUUGCGGCCUUCUUUUUCUUUAUAAUUAGAAACCAAAAUGUGUUUAGGUUACAAUUUAAUAAUAGUAAGUUACCCACAACAGGUUACGUUUCUUCUUUCUGUUUUCUUGGUUUAGGCGAAAAGGUCAUUGUAAUGGCAUGUUGAAGCUAGUCUUCUUCACAUGUUUCAUUUAUUUCCUCACAAAUUAUUUGCUAAAAAUAAAGUAGCCCCUGGCAAAGCCAUUCCUCUUUCUGAAGACAUGGGAGCAUCUAUCUGAGUAAGACAUUCACAAUUUUGUCUUGUGUAGCUGUGAGCAAGUAAUUCCCCUGAUUGAAGUGUUUCUGUCAAAAUAUGGUUGAUCCCACGAGAUUUCCUUCUCCCUCUUCUUCAGGUACCCCGGAAGCAAUAAUUGAGGCUUUAUCACGUUCUUUUAAAUGAUCAGAAAAGUGGUCAAUAAGGACCUCAAGUCAAGGGCUGUUUUCCUCCAGCUUACAGUUAUUUGUAAUUUACAAUUCAUCUUUGAAAAUUUUUUUCCUAUAAAAGAGAUGUGCUUUGUCAUUUGUUUAUUUAUGCGGUGGCUUUAUGGGCCCUGUCUUUGUUCCCUUAAAGGUAAAUGCCAUUGUUUUAAAUUUUCUUUUUCUUUUAAAGACUGUGUGUAUAUCGAGAGUCGGAGGCCAAACACGCCGUAUUUCAUCUGUAGCAUUCAAGACUUCAAACUGGUAAGCAUUUUUAAUGUCUGUUGCUUCUGCUCUGUACCUUCCUUCUCUUUCCAGUUCCAUGGAUUGCUUCUUCCUGGUUACUGACUUGAUAACCAGUUCACCUCUGAGUGCUAAUUGCCUGGCUGCUGUAGCACACAUGUAAGGCAGUUAGUGGUUUUAUCCGUUUGCUUUUGUAACACUUACUGUUAUAAAGCUUGUCCUGUGAACAACGUUUCCAAAGUUUUCAUUUCUUUGGUAGCUGUUUUGGCCAUAAUUUCAGAGAUUUUCUUGAGUUUCUGAAGCCGUGUGUUUCUUCUCAGCCAUUGUGAAGAACCUGAAGUAAAUAUGGGAAUUAGUGGUGAGUUGGAAAAAAAGAAUACAAAUGGGCCAGAGAGUAGUUUUUGGCGAUGACUGUCUUUUACCUAGAUAUUUUGAGUGUAUCUUGGGGUUGCCUGGUGUUGGAGGUUGGGGGAAGGAAGUCUGGUUUGGGGAUGUAUAGAGCUAUAGUACUUCCCACUGCCAACCUGCCCAGUUUUAGAGGUGCUGGUAUUGCCCGGUAGGUAGGCAGAUCUCUGGGUUGUAGACUGGUGGUUCCCAGCCUUGGGGCUCUGGAUCCCUGGAUCUCAGCAGAGAUUUAACAGAGGUCUGCAAGUAAACAUUUUCAGUUUAAAAUAUGCCUCCCAUGUGUUUGUGCAACUACUUCUCAAAUAUAUUCAUAUGCUGGUGUGAUUUUAAAGUGAAAAAAUUCACUUUAUUUACAGACAAUACACAGUUAAGAAUCAGCUUAUUAUGUGUUUUCCUCAAACAUGGUAUGCGAAAUACCAUCAGAGUACUGUCAUUUGGGGGAUCUUUUGAAACAUCACAAAGGUGUCCUUGUACUUGAAGGUUGUGAACCCUGUCUGCCUGCUUAGAUACAGGGAAAUCCUGAUUCUUUAGUUGUGUACAGGUAUGUAUCCGUAUCUGUGAAUGCUCUCAUUUCCAAAACCCUCUGUAGCUUGACAGCAUUUGUGUUCUGACGCUCUGUAUGUGGUAUGUGAUACUUCAGUCUAAAGAAAGGUAAUGUAGUCUGAAGAGGUCUUUAACUCUGCGUCUCCUUUGUUUCUUUUUAUCAUUUUUAAUGACCCCAACUACCCAAUUAGUGUAUUCCAACUUAGCUAGUUAAAAAAUUGCAUGCCAUUUAAUUUUCCUUAUUAAAGUUUUGUUGCAUAAGUAACACAUGCUUACUGUUUUAAAAAAGUCAAAUGUGCCAUUUGCUUCUGUGACUUAUUUAUUCUUGGUAGGCUGCUUUUAAUUUCCCUGCUAGUGUUACAAGGAGGCCUUGCAGUUUAGUUUUGUAAAUCACUUUCUAUUCAAAUUUUACAUCAGUAUGAAGUUUUAACAUUUUUAGAGGUCUUUGCUAUUUCUUACAUAUUUCCUCCCAAAGAUUUCUUUUGCAGAUGCUGCACUGAUAUCUGAAAAUCGGGGCAGUGGUCUUGUUUCCUGAUGAGCUUUCUUUUGCUUGUGGCUACUGCUCCUGUUCUGUUUCUGCUUAUUGUCUUUGUGGGUGAUUUUUUAAUUUCAAUUUAAUUUAAUUUAAUUUUUUAUGAUUUUUUUUUUUUUACCACCAAAUGUAGUACCAGUGCACCAUGGAAAAGAUAAUAGUCGUGAAAUAAAGUUACAAACGUUUUUUUGCUUGUUUGUUGUUUCUUUUUUAAACCUAUUAGAUUCAGAGCCCUUUUUGUCUAAUUUUAGCACAUUAGCAGGUGCCUUCAUGUUUGAACAGCGUCUCUUAUGAAAUGCUGAUUACAGUGUGAUAGUUGCUGUUUGGGGCAGAGGUUCCUGCUGAGUUACAGUAAUUGCUCAGGGUAUUAACAGCAAUAAAAGCUGAAGCUUCUGUUGUCAGUAUUGGUCUGGUACAACACAUUAAAGCCGUCUGCAAAAACAGUGUGGGGAGUGGGCACGGUGUGUGAGUUGCACACUGCUACGUUGCGUGUUUUUGUCUGAGUUCUAUAUUCAGCACAUACGUGUGGUUGUUGUGUAAGAAUAACAGAGAUGGUGAAAUACUGACUCCUAGAAAGAAUGCAGUUAUUGUCUGGAUAUCCACUUUCUUCUUUCCUUGGUUUGCAUUUCUGCUUAUGAAAAGAUAAGUUAAUAGAUGAGAAUAAUCAUAGAUUUUUUUUUCCUUCAGCUUACCCAGGCUUUUAAGGGGAAAAGAUGAACAGAAGGAAAUAUGCUUUGUUUCUCUUCAAGAUUUUAAAAAGAAGAAAUUGGAGUUGGUUUUGCCCACAGCAGAUACCGUGCAUGGCAAGAGGAGCGACGAAGACAGAAACCCAACAGCUUUGAAAUGUUGUUGAUUAAUUAUGUAUUUUAUCUUUUUAAGCUUUUUUGGUUUGGGGUUGUAACUGAGAGAUGUGUUCUUUGUUUACAGCCAUUAAUUAGAAUUAACCGUUUUACUGUGGUGAGUUUUUGAGCAUAUGGUAUAUUUGAGACUGUGAGAAGAACUGGGCAGAUGCCCUUUGUGGAACACAUUAAGUAAGACUACAGUCCUUAGCAGCAGUUAAGGAAUUGAGAGGUGGGCCUAAGGAAACCUCUAUGACCAGUCACCAAAACUAGCGUGAUGCCAGUUAGUCGAACUGAGAACCCUGGGUAACAUUUCAGGAACUAGUUCUGUGAGAGAUAAGAAGGGUCUUUGCAUUUUCUGUGGGGACCUGGGCUGUCCCCUGGGCUCUGCCACUACAUCCCGUGCAGUCGGAGUCCACGAUAAGAAGGUAGUUGUCUCUGUGUGCAGGAUUCCAUUACACCUGGCCAAGUGUUCAACAGUGUCCCCGUUCACUCUCAAAGGGGUCCUUGUUUUAGAUGAUAGUUUACGCGGCCGUCUUGCCUGGGGGGAUGGGAUCCGCGGCUUCCUCUUAGUUCGCGAGCAACCAUCAAAACGCAAAGGGCCACUCCCGUACUAUAUUGGUCCACCCGUUUAGACCCCGCACUUUCACGGGGUACGUGGAAGCUGUGAUGGUGCAAAGUGAUCGAGUUCCCAGCAGAACUGAGGGCACUUUUGAAAGGAGCACUUUUAAGGGAAGCACAUUAUGUGUUGUGUUAGGAAGCUUUCGUCCUCGUAGGGAGCGUUAAUGUGAUUGGGCUUCUUUGCACACGAGGAGACCAGCCUGGCUUUGUUUGACUACGACGACGACGAAGGGAUCCGUGGAACAAGUAGUCAAAGCAGGGGCGCGAGAGACAGGAGAGGCGAGGUGGAGUGAGGGACGGUGCGUGCUUCGAAGUAGGAAUAGGAAGGAUCCUCAGUUAAAUAAGGCAGCUGGGCACCUUGGGCUUCCGAGCGAAAUGAGGCAGCUGGCAAAAUCUUUAGCUCUUUGAAAGAAUGGUAAUAUGGAACCGGCAGUCUGCGAUCUUCGCGGCCUUGCUUGAAAAGAUUAACCGAGAGACUGAAGGAGUCAGCUGAGGGGCCGACGGGAAAGGACGACUCGAGAAACGCCUCAGUGCCCACAGAGAGGGCUGGCAGGCACAGACAGGUUGCAGGCCUGGGGAGGCCGGGAGACCUGGGGAGGCCGGAAGCCAGGAAGAGUGGGGACCGGAGCAGCUGCACCGGAGAGCGGUGGGCGGCGACAGGGCGAGAGCACGCCCUCUUGCCCCGCCCGGAGGUCCGCCCCUCUGCCCCAAUGUGCCCAGGCUUCCUCAGGCCGCCGGUUCGGGUCCUUGUUCGGUGUCCUUGUUUCUGCUCCCCAAGGGCCUGUUUUCUCGGCCAGCCUGAGUGGCUCUCCGCUCGCAGCCGAAAGAGCCUGGCAUAACAUCUCCAGCGCUCUCUUCUGCCGCGCUGCCGCGGCUCUCCUAGGUCGGUUGUGACUUAGUUCGCUUCCAGAGUUCUGUUCCCGGAUGAGCCAAGAUCACCAAGGAGUUACAUCCCGGAGUGCGGUGAGGGAGUGUUUCCGCUAAUCAGGAAGGCCUUUAACGAAAGCCUCCUUGCUGUGCUUUGUUGGGCGCGGCUCCUGGAGGAGACGGAAGCCUGUAGGACAAAGUGCCUUCCCUCAGUGGCCUUAGUUUCUGAUUGGACAGACAAGUGCGGCAUUACGGGGUGUCAGUCCUCAGAGAGAACGCUCUCCAUAGGAUUAAUGUGGAGGAAGCCAUUCACUUUUUGUCCCCAGAGAAAGAUUUCUUUCUUGCUUUUACUAAAAAACAAUAAAAUUCCAUUUUUUAUAGAAAUCCAGGCCGUCAGCAUAAUAGAGUUGAUUUGCUAUCGUAAAUCCUGAAAAUGCUUAGCGAGAUCAUUUAGAUUAGUAAUUUUCAUUCAGUAGAACACUGAGGACUACCUUGUCUGGCUCUGAUGGUACUACUUUGUACCUGAGUCUUCGUUCACAGAUAAGUCAUGGAACCCAGUCCUUCAAUAUUCUACGCGGACGUUCUGUGUGGAUGGAUUCCUAAUGAGCUUUUAUCAUUCCUACGUUAGAAAAAAAAGGAUUUUGGUCUCCUAGAGUUAAAUAAUUAUCGGUUCUUCAGCUGUUGUACGAAAUGAUUUUCCGGGUUGGAUAUGUAAUUAUUUCAAAUAUUAUUUUGAGCAAAUACCAGUGAUUGAUUCCUUUGGUGCCUGUUUGGUUUAUUAGAAGUUGAAAGUUGUCAUUAAAAUUAAACCUGGUGUAGAGAUUCCUUCCAGUUGGGGGAAUGUCAUUAGGGAUAUUAUGGUAUUUUUGGUCAACUGUUUAGGGUUCAGUGACUUGUUACGGCUCCGCAUGGACGAGUGUGCUUUUGUGGCCUUUCGUCCCUGACGGCACACGUUCUGAGUGCUGGUUGUGAGUGUGGAGGAGCUGAGGCUGCACGCCACAUCUCCGUUACUGCUUUCUCUUUGUUUCAUUGCCAAGUGUGAGCAGCCCGGGGGAGGAACAUUCGGAAUUACUUCUUCCUGGUCGGUGUCUGUAAAGAACCGUACCCCCAAAGUUGAUUGCACAGUACAGCAGAGAGGGGCUGUGGAGACAGGAGCUUCGGCUCAGCUUCCACUCCCCAUUGUGUUGCCCGCUCGCCACCAAAUCAAGUUUCCCAGAAGUAGAUUAAAAGCAAGGAGCUGCUUUUCCGUCAUUACGGUGAAAAUUUAACUGGGGAUAAGUAAUUUUAUCUUUUCAUUUCUUGUUAGGGACCUUGACAUAGAUGAUGCUGGGGGAUACAGGACCCCUCGUUACCGUGCACUCUGUGCAUACACCUGUGUGUAUACACCGUGAGCUCGUUUUCACUUAGGCACCACAUGCCGCAGUUGUUUAUUCCCAUCUCGGCUGCCGUGCUCGCUCAGCAUAGAAUGUAUGGUGUGUAGACGUUUGGGAAAUGGGCAUUCGUUUUGAUACUAGGUAAAUCUCGUAUCAGAAACUUUCCUGGGAAUGGGAUAGGAGGACUGCAUUAGUGUGAGUGUGGCUAAUGCAGAACAUGUGGUGUCACCCAGGGACCGAGACGAGGGACGGUAGCGUGCAUGUGUCCGAGCUUGACUUUGACAUCAGCUGGUCUGUUCCUGAGUUGCUGUCUUUCAUGACCUUGGGCAAGAUGCUCAGCCCUCCUAACUUUGUUUUAUUUACCCGUGUAGUUGGGGUAUAAAGCACCUACCUGGCAGGGACGUUGUUUUUCGAUUAAAAGAUCGAGCCUGCAAAGUGGAUGCAGGGUGCUGGGGCCAGGGGAGGACGUGGUAGGGAUAUGGUGUUUCAUUGGUACUCUGUGUCCAAGCUUUGCAGGGGCAGACACCGUGCCUGCUUUUAUUCACUGAUGUAUUACUGUGUGCUUAGCAUAUUGCCCGGCCCAUCCACAACAAAUGUUUAUUGAAUGUUGAGUGAAGUUAACAUUUCAGUGGGAAAAAACUCAGUGCAUAAAGUUUUAGAAAAACGUUAGCAGUGAUUUGAUACAAUGCAUUAACUACAAACCCACCUUCUGUUUAUUAAACAAACCAGAGAGAUGCAUUUCUUUACUGUUAGUCUACAGCGCGUAGUAUUUUGGUUAGCUUGUAGUGUGUAGUACUUCAGAUAUUUAAAUAAUAAAAAUCUAUUCUUAAAAUAACUUAAACUCAGUUACUUAUUUUCUUCAGGAGUUUACAGAGGGUUGCCAAAGUCAUAACAUUUUUUAGGCAUUAUAAUGUGUUUUGAAUUUUCUGUAUUACUGACUUUUAGCAAAGAUAAAUGAGGACUUAAGUCUGUAGGUAAACAUUCCUGAGAAGGCUGGCUGAUAGGAAAAAUGCCUUAUGAUGUAAUGAUUCAGUUCCGUGUCAAGUAGUGGUUGAUUUUCUCUUUUUGGUAGCCGCUCAAGUUAGAUUUCCAGAACUGAGUACUUCUUUCCAUAGUUCCUUUUUCUCCUCUAGUUCAUUCCCUAGGAAAAGGUCAGUAUCACCCAUUUACAUCUGUGUGACUUUGAGGGUAGUGUUGGAUAAUGAAGUGAAAUCCUUGAAAUUCGUUAUCGACUGUUUUUUAGUUUACAGGGUGAGGAAUUAAGUAUUAUUUAGAGACAUAAUGGAGUGUGCAGCUGAAGUCAUUCUCCCACAGGGCUCCUUUCUGCUACUUUAGUUGUCCUCACCUGUCUGGAGUGGGUGCUCCAGCAUGACACCACUCUUAACACGGUGAUUUCCGCGUCCAGCAAAGGUGCACCCUAUUGAUUUGGUGCUCAAGUAUUCUUCUGGAGACCACACCGUUUUUCUCCCUUCGUUUACAGUACAGGCCAUGGUUGCUUAGUUGCUAUCUAUAAGCAUUAUGAUAAACUGUAAUGGGUCAUUAAGCUUGCUCCAUGCUAUUUGUUUGGAGUAGGCCACCAAUAAUAAAAAAUAUAUGCACAGAGACUGUAUGUCCUUUUCACAUGUAAAUGUGACGUUUAUAAUUUAAUCCUUUAAGAAGCAAGAGGGGGAUGAAAUCCUUAGCCCCAAGUUUAACGGACAAAAUAUUGUCAGGUGUCCCCCCCCCCCCCCCCCGCCAGUUAUGGAGCAGUCAUGUUGCAAGUUAUUUUGAAUCACUACAGCCUUUUUCCCUGAUACGAAUGUCAACCUAUAAAUGGUGGGGCUGAUAUUCACAUAAAUGAAAAUCAAAAUGAGGCUUUGGGAAUAAAUACUCUCAUAGCAUCUUAUUGGCCCCAUUUACCCAGCUUCUCAGCAGGCUGUUUUCACUCAUGACUGACAGUCAUUGUAGGCCACGUGGGAUUUAAAGUUUUAAUGGUUCACUAUUACUGUGAAGUUGGGUAAUUCAUUUUUCUCCUGGUUUAUUUGGAUUUUAGGACUAGGAAACCACUGAAAGAAUUUCGUUUAAUUAUACUGUUCCAUAAAAUAUGUAUCUAAAAAUGUUUACUAAACCUGUUCUCUGGAGGUGAAAUGUUUUUAAUGCGAAAAACCCUAGGUAUUCUUACCUUUCUAAAAAAGGAGCUUAAGAAAGUUUGAGACAACUUCAUAUUUGCAGAGGGCUGCUUUGCAAGAAUAUUGGCAAAGUCUUAUUCAUAUUCUUGAUAUCUUAGAAUUGGAAAUUGAUAAUUUGUGUGUACCUGUGGAUGUUUGUGAUUAAGGACUAACUUGAAAUAGUCCAAGUAAAACCCACCAGAAGAACCAAAAGAAAAUGAGGGAAACAGAUACCUGUUCAUGUUUUCCGAUUCAUAAGUAAGAACACUGCUUUGCUUUGAAAUGUACUUUUUAAUACUUAAAAUGUUUUAAUAAUUAUUUGAACUUUUGCAUAUUUAAAAUAAUGCCAAGGUGCUUUGAAAUGCUUUACUAGGUGUCUUCUUUAUUUAAAACUCUUGAUGUGAAUGAAUAAGAAUUUGAAUGAUCUGACUGAUGAAUUACUAGUGCAAAAUAUUCACCAGAAAUUCAUUUUUAUUGGAUGAUUAUGGUAAAAAAAAAUACUGAGUAUAUUGUAUAUUGUAAUGCACAGUUGGCUCUUUGAUUUGGAAUUUGUGGUGCUGGUAUGGGGAGGAGGGAGGUGUGUGUGGAGCAGAUCCUGCUGCUACCAACACUUGUUGUGAUCGUGGGUUGUCCUUGAGGCAGUGGGAGUCAAGACUGACCGCACAGGAAGUGUACUAUGGGGUGCCCAGGAUAUACUCUAGAAGGUGAUCUGCAGAGAAGGCAAAGAAAACCAUCAUGAUAAAGACAGUCCCCACUAUUAGCUUAUUUUCUUGGGAUUUGUGUUUUUGUCUUAAAAGAGACAUAGAAAAAUAAGUAGUUAACGGAACAUGUUAAAAUCUUGGAUUAUAGGAAGUUGUUAGUGAUUCAGAAGGAAUUAAAUUUAAGAAAGCUCCCUAAAAAUGCUUUAAUAUUAAAAAGUUUGCUUGUCUGUUAUUUUAAAGCAACUUUAAGAACAGAGAUUCUUCUAUAAGUGUUUGGAUCUUAUGGAGUUUGUAGUUUAUUUAAAAACCACGAAACUGGGCUGGUUAGUUUUUGGAAGUGUUAUGUACUCUCCAGAAUGUAUAAAAAGGAAACAUAUUUGAACUGUUAUCGAGGUAUCUGUUUUGAUACUUACAAGGACGGUGCUGGCUUUCAGAAGUUGCUCUCUAAUCUGCUGCUGCUUUAAAUGUUUGCACGGUGUAAAGGAAGACGUGUAGACACGUGGUACGCACCAGCGCUCGUUUCGCGCCUAAAAGAAAUAGUGUCUUUCUUGAGCUUAUGUUUUGUGCCUGUUCACAUGGGCACUGGGAGAAAAUUAAAACUCACUUUAAAGGUGUCUUUUUUCCCUCUGUUAUUAAGCCUUUGUCUUUUGCCUUCCCUUUAGCUUUACAAAAUUAAACUAGGACUUUGAGAAAAUGGUAGGAUCUUCCUUUGACCUCCUAAUGCCUCAAAUAUUUCCUUAUUAAGUACCUGUCUUGUGCCUCUAGGGUCUCGCAUUAGAAACUCUUCUGAAAGCUCAGUUUGUCCACUUCUGGUUCAUUUACGGCUGCGUUUAUCUGACACCGUUGCGUUUUUGUUUUUAUUCUAAGCAAAGCAUGCCGUUGUCACCGUGUUUUGGCACUGUGUCACAUCUUAACUUGGUUACUUGGGGGGCACACACCAUACUGCUUUACAACAGGACCCAGAUUAAAGUCUGGAGCCACAAGGCUCAUAUGUUUGUUCAUGCUGAACUAAGGCAACGGCGCUGAUGCAGAAAGGCUGAUAACUUCGGUGGUAGAACAAAUUCUCUGAGAGGCCAUCUGCUCAAGGGUGGUGCAGAUAACCUGCUUGUGUGCUGCGUGCCCCCAGUAACCAGGGCUGGAGGGGACGUUGGGCAUGCUAACUGAAAGCUCUUUUCUUUUUUAGGUCCACAACUCCCAGGCCUGCUGCAGAUCUCCAACUCCUGCUUUGUGUGACCCCCCAGCAUGCUCUCUGCCGGUGGCAUCACAGCCACCACAACAUCUUUCUGAAGCCGGGAGAGGGCCUGUAGGGGUAAGGAGAAUCCCGUUUUUAAAAGCUAUCAAUAUUUUAUAUCCCAUAGGGUAUAAAAUAGGAAUAUUACCUCCCUCCCCAGAGCCCCUUUAAAAAUGUGCUGUAUUGUAUGUGUUUUUAAAGGAGUAACAAGUACAUGCACAGAGGAAGCAAAAUACGGGACUUGCCUUACCCCUCUAGGACAGUUCCAGAAGUCAGCGGGGUUUGGUGGUGUAGGGUAUUGGGGCGCCAGCAGAGAGCAUGCUGGGCUGUUGCAAGGAGCAGGAGCUGGCAAUCAGCAGCGAGUAUGGAUGUUGGCAACUGAAAUGGGGAAAAAAGGGGGUAAGUUUGAGUCCAAGUGUGAAAUGUGCACUUCCCCAGCAUCGUGGGGACUUAGGGCCCACAAAUCUAAACUAUUUUGGAUGCUGUCCUCUCGGGUGACAUUUUGUCGAAUAUUGCUCAGAAGCAGCUAGGCUCUUCUGCGAUGCCAGAUAGAGAAUUAAACCCUUUGAAAGGCUCGAGUUAGGGUGUAGCUACAGUGGACUCGGCUGUGCCCUGGUAAUGUCUCCGUUACCUGGUGGUAAUGACGUGUGUGUGAGGUGCAGCAGGAUGAAGUGUCUGUGGUGCUUUGUCCCUAGAGCACGGGGCCUGGUGUUGGUGAUCUGUGGGUUGUUUGUGUGUCCUGUAUCUCCCCUCUUAUGAAAGUUGUGUAAACACCUGUCUGCCUUUCUUUUGCCUUUAUGAGGAUUUAAUGAUAACGCUUUCCGGAAGACAGGUGUUUAUUCUGAUUGACUGCUGUUAAUCACCAAAGAAGUUGAAGACCUGUCUUUUCUCUUGUUGUGCGUAAUCUGACCGUGGGGCUCAAAUGCAUACUCAGAAAAUAACACAAGAUACCUGGCGCUGUAUAAUGAAUUGCUCAGUUAUAGUGUAGCAUAAUGGUAUCUUGAAACUAGGAAAAGCGAGUGCUCCAAACGGGCUGUCCCACUUGGGGGAGUUUUGUGAAGACAGGCAGGUUUUGAGGAGCCGGGUUGGUUUUUGAUACAUCAGCAACAUGUGGACAGGCAGACUGGAGGAGCCUUCCAGGUGUACGUGUCCACCUGUCCCUGUAAGCCACAUAGGCGGUGAGCCUGGUGAGGCUGGGAGUUGAGAGAAGAUGACCGCAGGACGUCGGGGAAGAGCACAGGUUAGUGGGUCGUGGGGGUGGAGGUGGCACAUAACGCGGGGCCAGAUCAUAGAGCAUGGCAGAGGUGAGACGAGGGCAGAUUUUAUGUGACACGUGGGAGAGAAGCCUUUGUAGACUUUUUUAUUCCAGGCAAGCUGAUUUGCAAAUGCUUGCUUAAGAAGAUGUAUUGGGUAUCCGGUGCAUUCUGGCCAGACGGCAGAAGCUCCAGCUAGAUGGUGAGGGCUGUCACCCAUGUGUAAAGAGAAGAGGACCGGGACAGGGGAGCUAGGAUAUUAAUUAUCGUAACAAAACCAGGAGUAAUCGUCACAACAGCAAUGUCAUGUGCAAAUAGUUGCUGGUGUAAUUUAUCAAGAAUUAGACCAGAAAAAAGGCUCACAUUAUGGAAACCUUGGAAUUCUUGAUAUAACAACCAUUCGCAAUGGAAGAUAAAACCCAGUGUAGUGGAUAAAAGUCUAAUUUUAAUCCCUGGAAAGAUAUUGACAUCGUAAGGGACGCAUUAGCAGAGUCCCAACUUGACUCUCUACUUCGAAGACUUCAGCCUUUACAGUUACCAUCUUGUUUCCGUAUAUAUCUAAGAGAUGAUUUUCUCUUUCAGGCUGAUACUUUCUACUUUAUUCUCCAGUUAGUGUGGAUGUCAUUGUUAGACUGUUUCAUGUACUACAAUAUUCAUUAAUCAGGAUUUGUUGAGUAGAUUUAAAAUUUUGCCCAUAAUAACAUUGAUUUUCAGUAAACUUUUUGUAUUAGCAUUAGUGAUGACCAGUAUUUAUUUAUUUAUUUAGCAGAAAAGUAUGGUGUUCACUGGAGUUUUAAAUAAGUUCAUGAUCGGUGGUGUACUCAGAUACCAUCGGAUGUAGGUUUGAGGAGGUUCUGUAAUAAGAUAAUGAAUCUUCUUUGAGUCAAGAUGAUGCUGCAUGAAGCAAACUGUAUUGAUUGUUCUUUAACAACGCUUCAUGCUGCCAAAGUCAUUUGAGCUGGAUCUGAAUUGGAUCCAGUUGGCAAAGCUACCCCCCAUGUGCAGAGUGCUCAUAAAUUCUGCAGGCACGCAGAUCUAAUACAGUGCAAUGAGAGAGCUGCUGGGAGAAAAAAUUGAUUACAGGGUUGCAGACAAUAUCAUUAACAGUUCUUGCCAUGAUACACCAGAUGUCUUCCCUAAUAGACUAUUUUUGUUAAUUUAGUUUUUAUAGGAUAGCACUAACUGCAUCAUAAUUUAACUUUCUUUCCAUAUUCAGGUAUCUGUCUGAUCUGUGUUUCUACGCUAAUGGCGAUACAACUCAAAGAGUUGAUUUUAUAAUUUUUAACUUAUUUGUUCAAUUUUAAAGUAUUUGUGCUGGAAAGGCAGCAUUUUCCCUUCUUAUAGAGAAUAUGUUAGCUUGGAUUUUUUUUAGCAAAAGGUGCUGUGUUUAUUGGCAGUCCAGGGGUAGUGAGGGAGGUGAGAAGGCAAAGAAAACGUUGCCCAGCUUCUCCCUACACUGGGUAGAGAUGAUCCCCUCCACCCCCGCAGCUGCUCCCAGUAUCCGGUGGUUUAAAUGGCAGGACAGAGACUCUUUCCAAAAAGCAGAGAAGGUGCGGCUCUGGAAAGGAGACUUAAAAUGCACAUUCAUUUUAGUUCUCAUGGAGGCGGCUCUGCAGGCUGGACUUCUUGUAGGGUGUGCUAAUCCCUUCCUCACUGGGAGAGCAAGGGUUAGACUCGUUAGAUACUUAGGAUUUUUAUUUUGUCGCCUAGCUUUUUGCAUGUUUAAGACCUCUGUUGAGCAGCUGAUGCAGAUAAAUAGGACAGGUCUGUAAUAGCGUAAGAUGACAAUUUUAUUUGUCAUUUUUUUAAACUACUGGUUUUGGUUUUGGUGCAUUAUUCUUUAGAGAACAUGUUUCUAUCCUGAUGCGUUCCUGUGUAAUGGAGGACGUGUUCAUGACCUUCCUGGCACUUAAUUUUCUCACUUUUAAAGUGGGCACAGCACUACUGUCUACCUCAGCAGUUGUUGCAAAGAGGGAAGAAGUCCAUUGAUCUGCUUAGCGUGGCGUUGAGCAUAUGAUAAGCAUUCAUUAAGCAGUGUCUGUUGUUACGCAGUUUUUUGUUUUACAAAUUCAGGUGUUAAAUAAUUUAUUAGUGUUCUACACAUUCUUGGUCUGAGGUCCAUAGGCCCCUAGGACUCCUUAAGUGGAACAGGGUCUGUGAAGUUCCUGAAAUUGCAGAGUCUUAUAUGUAUGUGGAUUUUUCUGGGGAGAGUAUUCUUUUCAACCAUGGAUGCUAAUCAGUGGAUUCCUAAAAAUGUUGAAAAAGCUUUCAAAUGAAGAUUGGGAACUGCGGCUCUAUACACUUUCCGCUUACAGAUCAGCUGGUUGCUCGUUAGGGAAGUAUGCGGACACUGAGCAUUUACUUGGUGCCCAGGCACUGUGCUACUCUUUUCACAUAGUUUAAUUUGUGGUAUUUAUUUCAUUUUGCAGAUGAGAAAAUAUGAGGUUUACAGUUGUAGAAAAUCUUGCCUUGAAUGAAUGUCAGGAAUGAAUUCUGAGGUUUAACUCGGGAACCCUUCUCCUCCCCCCCNNNNNNNNNNNNNNNNNNNNNNNNNNNNNNNNNNNNNNNNNNNNNNNNNNNNNNNNNNNNNNNNNNNNNNNNNNNNNNNNNNNNNNNNNNNNNNNNNNNNNNNNNNNNNNNNNNNNNNNNNNNNNNNNNNNNNNNNNNNNNNNNNNNNNNNNNNNNNNNNNNNNNNNNNNNNNNNNNNNNNNNNNNNNNNNNNNNNNNNNNNNNNNNNNNNNNNNNNNNNNNNNNNNNNNNNNNNNNNNNNNNNNNNNNNNNNNNNNNNNNNNNNNNNNNNNNNNNNNNNNNNNNNNNNNNNNNNNNNNNNNNNNNNNNNNNNNNNNNNNNNNNNNNNNNNNNNNNNNNNNNNNNNNNNNNNNNNNNNNNNNNNNNNNNNNNNNNNNNNNNNNNNNNNNNNNNNNNNNCACGAGAGAGAGAGAGAGAGAGAGAGAGAGAGAGAGAACCCCAAGCAGGCUCUGCAGGGGCAGCAUAGAGCCCAACGUGGGGCUUGAACCCACCAAGCUGUGAGAUCAUGACCUGAGCUGAAAUCAAGAGCCAGACCCCCAACGGACUGAACCACCCAAGGGCCCCGGUGUGAGAAACCUUCUUAGUAUCAGUUAAUUUUGUUUUCCUAUUAGCCCUUGUGGUGGUUAUAAUUUUAGUAUUUUGUUUAAAAAAUGCAGGAUUAACAAACAGCUACUCUUUGAGUUUCUUUUUCAUUUAUCUUUUUUUUUUUUUUUCAACGUUUAUUUAUUUUUGGGACAGAGAGAGACAGAGCAUGAACGGGGGAGGGGCAGAGAGAGAGGGAGACACAGAAUCGGAAGCAGGCCCCAGGCUCCGAGCCAUCAGCCCAGAGCCCGACGCGGGGCUCGAACUCACGGACCGCGAGAUCGUGACCUGGCUGAAGUCGGACGCUUAACCGACUGCGCCACCCAGGCGCCCCCUUUUUUUUUUUUUUUCAACGUUACUUUUUCGUUUAUCUUAAUGACAUCUGUGUACAUUUGAAAAAUAAUUCCUGUAGUGGUGUUGUGUUUGUCGAUCUUGUGUGUUCAUUUUGGGUAAAACUUCAUGCGUGUAAGAAAUUGGAUUUUGCUUUUUCCUUGGAGUAAAUCCACUCCACUGAUGUACACAGACCUGGUCCACUCACGCAGAGCGGGAAGCUAGGGCCCCGUAGCUUGCCCCAGAUUCCUGUUCGGGAGGGGCUGCUAGGCCAGAAUCUGGGUCUCCUGGGUCUCUGCUCAGUGUGUGCCUUUUCUGCUGCUCCCUGCUACACCUUCCUGGAUCCAUAAAGCAGGCCUGUGAGAUAUAUCAUUUACCUCCUCGAAACCUAAGAAUGCUUUGCUUAAUAUCUAGUUUAAGCUUUUGCGAUUGUAAUUCAUACCAGUGUGAAAAUAAUAUUUCUUUCCUGUGUAAGGUAUUUACCAUUCGUAAGUAUCGUUUCUGACACUGAUAUUUUUCAUACUUGGGACUUGAUAGUAUUUAGUAAUUAAAGGUGAACACUUAUUAUAGGAUGCUACUUUAAAAUGAAGGCUGAUUAUGGUUUUUUUGUUUUUUUUUUUUUUUUUUACCUAGUUCCUUGUAGAGAACUCCAAUCUGGUUGCUUGUGUAGAUACGCAGGAAUUUCUAAGCAUAUCCUGCUCUUUCAGUAUUUCCUGUAGCUUCCCCAGUUGACAUUAAGAAUGCCAAAAAUAACCAUUGCCUUUUAUAUUUGAUUGUCAGGAAAGAAAUUAAAACAACUGAAUUGUUAGAAAAAUUACUGAUACAAAUGCUGGGAUUAGUCCAACUACCCUAAAUGGAAGGUGAUUAAUAGCUGUUGAAUUUGAAGGCAGCAAGUUGAAAAAAUUCUUGAAACACCCAGCCUCCCAGUAUGAGAGGGCUUUAUCCCCUGCUUGCAGAGAAAUUCCUUCCCUCUGAACGGCUGUUUUCGUAUCCUGCUCUCCCAUAAAAGCCAAUUUCAACUGAUUUGUUCUUGAGGGCUGUCUGUCUUGUUCGUCUGCUCCUUUUCUUACAAAAGGGGCAUCAAGCCACCUUGUCGGAGCAUAGAUUUGAAUAACCUUAUGAUCUCAUAAAACUGCCCACUCUUUCAGCAGUGUGCUUACUACCGUAGGCCGGUGCGAGGUGGAAAGAUUGCCUGUAGGUUUCACUGAGCUGCAGCUCUUUUCAGGGGCACCUCCUGCAUCACCUUGUGUUCCUCACGGACACUGCAAGGUCUUUUAAUCUUGCCUUCUUGGGCUGUUUGUAUUGUUUGAAAAAUAUCUAAGUAGAUAUGUGGAGUUCUCCGGCUUUACAAGCUCUCCAGAAUUAAUUUUACUGAUAAUAAAUUGCCAAAGAAAUGUCAGCACACGAAAGUAGAACGCAGUUUUGUUGAACUUAACUUUGUUUUUAGUGUCACCCCUCAUUUUAGGAUAUCCUAGUGCUUGUGGUGGUAGCAACUCUUACAAAUAUCAAGGCCUUCACUAGAGUACCAGAUUUUUCUUAGGGACUGAACUGAAGUGUAAGUAAUAUACCUAAGGUUAAUUAGGCCUUCCAUGGUCUAUAGAAAUUGGUGUACUAAAUUAUUAUGCCUUGUGCCUACAAGUGGACAUUUUCUGUUUUUGUCUUUGAUUUCAUGUUGUGUAAUUAGGUUGAAUUUGUCUGGCCGGCCUUCCUUCCUUCCUUCUUUCCUUCCUUCCUUCCUCCCUCCCUCCCUCCCUCCCUCCCUCCUGACUUCAGUUUUCAGAGCAGUUUUAAGUUUAUUGCGAAAUUGAGCAGAAGGUGCAGAUUUCCCACAUUCCUCCUACCUCUACACAUGAAUCGUCUCCCCCAUCGUCAACCUCCCCUAUCAGAGUGGUACAUAUGUUACAGUUGAUGAACCUGCAUUGACACAUCAUUAUCCAAAGCACAUAGCUUCCAUUAGGGUCCACCCUUGGUAUAUUGCACAUUCUGUGGGUUUAGACUAGUUUAUAAUGCCAUGUAUCCACUAUUACAGCUUUAUACAGAGGAGUUUUAUUGCCCCAAAAAUUCUCUUUGCUCUGCCUGUUCACCCCUCCCUUCCCCCAACCCUUGGCAACCAGCAAAUUCUUUGCUGACUCUUACAGUUUUGCCUUUCCAGAAUGUCAGAGUUGGAACCAUAUAGUAUGUAUCCUUUUUAGAUUGGCUGCUUUCCCUUAGUAGCAUGCACUUAAGGUUCCUCCUAUGUCUUUUCAUGGCUUGAAGCUUAUUUCUUUUUCAUGCUGAAUAAUAUUUCAUUGUUUCGAUGAACCAGUUUAUCCAUUCGCUUACUCAAAGAUGUCUUCACUUUUCUUAGUUUUAGCAAUUAUGAAUAAAGCUGCUAUAACAUCUGCAUGUAGGUUUUUGUGUGGAUAUAAGUUUUCAAGUCCUUUGGGUAAGUACCAAGGAGUGUGAUUGCUGGAUUGUAUGGUAAGAGUAUGUUUGGUUUUUAAAGAAACAACGAAACUGUUUUCCAACAUAGCUGUACCAGUUUUCUUUCCUACCAGUGAAUGAAUGUUCCUCUUGAUCCCCAUUCUUGCCAGCAUUUGGUGUUGUCAGUGUUGUGGAUUUUCGCCAUUCUAAUAGAUGUGUAGUGAUGUCUGAUUGCUGUUUUAAUUUGCAUUUCUCUGAUGACAUACCAUGUGGAGUUCUGUUUUUAUAUGCCUACUUGCUAUCUGUGGAUCUUUUGGUGAGGUGUCUGCUAAGGUCUGUGGUUCAGUUUUUAAUCAGGCCGUUUAUUUUCUUAUUGUUGAGCGUUAAGGAAUUCUUUGCAUAUUUUGGACAAUAAUCCUUUGUCAGGUGUGUCUUUUGUAGGUCUUUUCUCCAAGUCUGAGGCUUCUCUUUCUCUUUUCUUGACAGUGUCUUCUGUUGAGCAGUUUUUAAUUUUACAGAAGUCUGGUUUAUCAAUUCCUUCCGCCAUGGAUUAUGUGCUUGGUGUUGAAUUUAAAAAGUCAUUGCCAAACCCAGGGUCAUCUAGUUUUUCUCCUUUGUUAUCUUCUAGGAGUUUUCUAGUUUUGUGUUUUACAUUUUAGGUAACGUGGUCCCUUUGGAGUUGAUUUUUGUGAAGGGUGUGGUCUGUGUCUAGAUUUCUUUCUUUGUUUUUUACAUGUGGCUGCCCGGUUAUUCACCACCAUUAGUUGAAAAACUAUCUUUUCUCCAUUGUAUUUGCCUUUUUGUUCCUUUGUCAAAGGUCAGUUGACGAUAUUUAUGUGGAUUUGUUUUUGGACUCUAUUCCGCUGUUCUGAAUCUGACCAGUAAAAGGCAGACAUUUUGACUUGUUACUUCUAAAUAGUUAACUGUGUAUUUUGUAAGAACAAGGACAUUUAUUUAUAUAGUCGCCACAUAGUUACCAAAAGCAGGAAAUUUAACAGUUUAACAAUACUCAUCUGAUCUGUAGACGUUCACAUUUUGCCAUGUGUCCCAGUAGUGCCCUCUGUGGCAGUUUGUUCUUUGGACCUAAUAUCUAUUUUUUUUUUUUUAAUUUUUUUUUCAACAUUUAUUUAUUUUUUGGGGGACAGAGAGAGACAUAGCAUGAACGGGGGAGGGGCAGAGAGAGAGGGAGACACAGAAUCGGAAACAGGCUCCAGGCUCUGAGCCAUCAGCCCAGAGCCUGACGCGGGGCUCGAACUCACGGACCGCGAGAUCGUGACCUGGCUGAAGUCGGACCCUUAACCGACUGCGCCACCCAGGCGCCCCUGGACCUAAUAUCUAGACCAGCAUCACACUUACAUCUAGUUACCAUGUGUCUUAGCUCUCCUUUAAUUUGGAACAAUGUCUUAGCUUCUCUUUGUCUUAUGUAUUUAUUUAUUUAUUUUUAUUUAAAAAAAUUUUUUUUAACAUUUAUUUAUUAUUGAGAGACCGAGAGACACAGAGCGUGAGCAGGAGAGGGGUAGAGAGAGAGAGACACACAGAAUCGGAAGCAGGCUCCAGGCUCUGAGCUGUCAGCACAGAGCCCGACACGGGGCUUAAACUCACAAACUGUGAGAUCAUGACCUGAGCUGAAAUCGGUCGCCCAACUGACUGAGCCACCCAGGUGCUCCUCUGUGUCUUUUGACGACACUGACAUGUUUUUAAAGAGUGCAGUCUAGUUUUUUGUAGUUUGUUGUUCCCUGCCUAUUAGAUUUAGGUUAUGCAUUUUAGGCUAGACUGUUUUAUUAGUGGUAUUGUGUCCUAAGGUCUUUACAUCAGAGAGAUUAUGAUAUCAGUUUGUCACAUUAUUAGUGAUAUUAAGUUAACUUUGAUCACUUGGAUAAGUUACCAACUUUUCCUUUGUAGUUGGUAAGUAACUUGUAGGGAGAAACUUUGAGACCAUGUAAAUAUCCUGUUCUUCAUCAAAGUUUUACCCACUAAUACACCACCCAGUGAUUAUUUUUGCCUGAAUCACUGUAGUGACUGUGGAAUGGCAAUUUUUUUUUGUAAACACAAAAUUGCUCUGCCUUUGAAGAACAGAUCAGAAUUCACCUACCAUUAAUCCCAGUGUGGGAUUUUUGAGUAAAGUGGAAGAAAGAAACCGAGAGAGGGGUGGGGGGGAUGGGAGAGACUGAGUGCUCAGGGUGUUUUUCAUUUUUAGAAUACUAAAAAUGAGAAGGACUAUAUGAAUUUUCAGAUUUUUUCUAGAAAGAGGAAAAUCUUUUUCUAGGCAGAGGAAAAAAACACCUGUGAUGUGUUUGUUCCCUGUUGAGCCUCCCGAGGCGAGAAAAGCUGCUUAGAAGUGAAGUAAUAGAUCAUGGACAUGGUUAAAAAAAUACACGUUUUUACUGUUGAAAUUAUGGUCUUGUUUUGAUUCAUGUUGGCAAGCUUUACUAGUGAUCAAGUUACUUACUCUCUCUGCACCUCAGUUUCCUCACUUGUAAAACCAGAAUAUUGUUUCAGUAGUUCUGGAGUGAGGCCCAGGAAUCCAUCGUUUUCCCAGGCACGCCCCAGGAGAUGCUGGUGGCAGCCAGCUUUAGCGAAAGGAAGUCUGCCUUCCACCUCGUGACUGUUGUAAAUGCAGACCUGAUCACGUCCUGUGCAGGAGGCAGGCCAGUUCCAGGGCCUCUUACGUUUCUCAAACCCGAGCGUCUUAUAUUAAUUUUAAAUGAGUUCAAACUGAACAACAGAACAACAAUAACAACAAAACAAUGAAAUUCUGUCAACAUUAAUUGAAUAGAAUGGGUGAUUGUGUUUUGCUGAAAUGAAAUAGCCGCUUCUCACUGAUUGCUUCUGGCCCAGAUUGGAGCGCUGGGGGAUGGCGUAUGGCGUGUUUCGACUAGUGGGUUCCUCAUGAUGACUCAGUUCUUCUGCUGUCGCUUUCUGGUUGUUGUUAUCCUUGAGAAACCUCCAUAAGUGUAAGUGUAGCUUGCUGUGAUGCGACUUUGUCCUUCUGUGGCAUUAAUGUGUGGCACGUUGGUUUGUCUUAUUUAUUUACUUAGUUUGUGGUAACUAUAGUAGUACAACUUAGGUAUUUGGUUUCAUGUAAACUCACUCAAUUACAUCUUGUAGCUCUCAACUCUGUUAUUUGAAAUGAUAAAAUAGACAAUCCAGGAAAUGAAUACAUAGAGAAAAUUUAAGAUAUACUUUGAAAUGAAAAGAAGAAUGAGCCCUGUCCUUCUCCCACCUUCCCAUCUCUUGCUCCUCUUUGAGGGAGACAGUCUGCCUGUAUUCCUGACGUGCCUUGGCUACUUUAUAUGUAUAUACAGUUGACCCUGGACUGACGUUGGGGUUUAGAGGCACUGACUCCUCCCCGCUCUGCAGUAGAAAAUCUGUGUGUAACUUCUGAGUGCCACAGAACAUAACUUCUCAUAGCCUACUAGAGGAAGCCUUACUAAUCACGUGAAUAGUUGAUUAUCAUAUAUUUUGUAUGAUAUAUGUGCUAUAAACUGUAUUCUUAUAAGAAAGUCAGCUAGAAAAAAGAAAAUGUUAUGAAGAAAGUCAUAGGGAAGCGAAAAUGCAUUUGCAUUACUGCACUGUAACAAAUCUGCGUAUAAAAGUGGGCCUGCAUGUUUUAACCUGUGUCCUUCAAGCAUCAACUGUAGUCCAUCCUUCUGGCAAGAGUAAAUGGAAGGGCUGUGCUUUUCAUCAUUUUGUUUGCAGUGCCUGGAACAGGUCCCGACUCUGCACCUUAUUCGUUGAGUUAGUGGUUGUCUUCAUUUAGAAGACAGGGGGAAAUAUCUUAAAAAUCAGGUGAAGAAGAAUUUAAAUUUUUGUUUAUUUAUUUUUAAAUAUUUAUCUUGAGAGAGAGGGAGAGAAUGUGAGAUCACGUGUCAGCAGGGAAGGGGCAGAGUGAGAAUCCCACGCAUGCUCCUCACUGUCAGUGCAGAGCCCAGUGUGGGGCUCGAUCUCAUGAACUGUGAGAUCAUGGCCCGAGCUGAAAUCAAGAGUCGGACACUCUACUGACUGAGCCACCCAGGUGCCCCAAGAGGGACUUUUUUUUUUAAAAAGGAGUACAUAAAAUGCGACGAAUGAGACCAUCAACACAAAGUAUAGCAUUAAUACAGUCAGGGGGAAGAUUAGCCAAAAAAACCUGAUGUGCAUGUAUGUGUAUUAGGUUUUUUUUGUUUUUUUGUUUUUAAGAAAGAAGGGACUGUUGGGUGUUUUUCCACUGUGUUUUCUGCCUCUCACGAAAAUGAGAGUGGUGUGGAGCCCAGAGGGUAUUCCUGGCUAUGGUUUUAGUAAUUAGGUAUCAGUAUGUGAUAAACAAAAAAACAAAAAAUUUUUUGUUCUAAAUAUGUAUUUCCUUCCCUGUGGGAAUUCUUAACGGGCUUGUAGAACUCCUACAGCAUAUACCUUGUAAACGUGUGCAUUGUCAGUUUUUCAGCUAACGUGACAUGAGGCUGUUUUGUUAGGUUUCAUUUAUUCGAAUGCUGGGUGUUCUCUCCUUUGAAUCUGUCUUAGAGAGGACCUUGUCAUGCUGUUACAACAGGAAAGUGGGGGUGGUGUUGGUUAUGGGGCUGCUGCCGCCCUUGGUCUCAGCCUCUUGACAAGUGACGAUUCUCCUUGAUGGCUGAGUGAAUGGGGGGGGGAUGCUGCUGUACUGCCCCAGGGCCUUGUAACGAUUUAGUUUGGAUGGAAAAGCAGAAGGACCUCAAAAGACAGAGGUACAGUGCCUUUGGUGUCAGCAGUAGGCGUGUAUGGGGACCUUGGGCCCGGAACCCUUGGGAUUAGUAAGGUGCCUCGAUCCAAAGGAUUGUGGAGGAACACCAUGGAAUUGCAUCCAAAGACAAAUUAGUGGCAACGGCUGACCGCAGUGCGUCCUCUCGCACUCUCGGUGAAAGGUGGAGCUCAUCGGACAAUAAAAAAUGGAAAUUGAAUGACGUUAGUGGAGUUUAAGGGUCGUGUAACCGGAGUGCAGACCAUUCUGUGAGGGAUGAGAGCAGUUUGAUUUGUACUUGUACCAGAGACCAUUCGCUUGAUUUCGGUCAGAGAGUUUUUUUUUGUCUCAAAUAUAUUUUUAGUAUAUAAAGAUUCAGGAAUACUCUUAAAUCAACAUUACCACCAAAUUUAAUAUUUGGUUAAUUUGGUUUUUGAAAAUUUAGGGUUAAUUUGGUUUUUGAAAGUUUCCCAUGUUGGAAUGGGGAAAUAAUAGUGGUUGAUACGUAUACAGCUUCCCCUGGUUUUUCCUUUCGUUAGUAGCGUCUUCUUGGAUAUAUCAAAAAUGUCCACAGAUGUCCAGAGAUUGGCACACUUACCAUAGUGAUUGAAUGUCAAUCUGCUCUUAAGAUAUUGAGCAGAUUUGUUAACAAACAAGAUGGGAAUGCACAAAGAUGUCUGAUGCAUUGUUAAAAUUCUUUAAAAGAAAAGCAGCUGGCAAAUGGUAAUUGACAGCUAUGUUUCAUCUGUAGAACUUGAAAUGCUGCUAUGGUUACUGUUGGUUAAGGAGGGAAGACACGUCCAUGAGACCAGGGCUUCUUUAGAAACCGAUGAAGAAUGACAAAGAAUCCAAGGUGACAGUUUAAGGAUUGCAUGACAGGAAAGGCACUGUGAUUAAAUUCCCUGAUGUUGUCACUGAGCUGUAAGGCUGAAGAUAACGCGCUCUCCUUCUGCUGAAAACAAGAAUCGAUACCCACUCCUUGAUGGGCUAAAUUAUUAAAAAGAGCCCUUCUUACAGCGUUUCAUUAUCUGGGAUUUGCCUCAGCUGGUGAUUUGUUGGCAGCAUAGGGAGAUUUGGUAGGCAUUUUGUAUGAAAAUUAUUCAGUCGGCCGGUGGAGCCCUUUGGACGAUUCCCUUCCACUUAACAAUGCUCUUGAAUAGAUGUGUGAUUUCCUUUUGCCUAAGUGACUCUGUAUCUUUUGGAGUUCUUAGACAGAGUGUUGGCCACACACGCACACUUUCUUUUUUAAUUUUGUUUUUUGUUUGUUUUCUCUUUUGUAGCUGUGGGUGGGUUGUUUAACAGAUUUUAGUGAUAUCCUUAGCAAACAUCAGUUGCAUUUGGCAUAUUACAUCAACCUGACACAUUGGCUAAUACAUGCUGAGUUUUAUAUUCUUCCCUUAGGGGGAACAUUCUACAAGAAAUUGACUUCAUUUUUAUUAAUUAAUUUUUUGGCGUAGCUUUUUUUUUUAACAUUUAUUCAUUUUUGAGACACAGAGAGACAGAGUGUGAGUGGGGGAGAGGCAGAGAGAGAGAGAGAGAGAGAGAGAGAGAGAGGGAGAGAGAGAGAAUUUGAAGCAGGCUCCAGGCUCUGAGUUGUCAGCACAGAGCCCGAUAUGGGGCUCGAACUCAUGAGCGGGGAGAUCAUGACCUGAGCCAAAGGGGGAUGUUUAACUGACUGAGCCACCCAGGGGCCCCAGGCAUAACUUUUAAGGAGGGAUGGUGGUGGUGUUAAUUUGUUAGGUAACUGAUGUGAUUUUUUUCAGCCAACCAAUUGAGAAAGAAAGUAACCUCAUAGGGUGAGCUUCAGGGAGAGAAAAAAGAAACCAGCACCGGGCUCUGUCAGUGUUGGUAGUGUAACUGGUCCCAGUCUAAUACAAAGGCUAGGAAUGACGAGAAGGAGGAGCUUUUGGGGGCAGCCCUUUGCCAUUAUCCACCAGCCCGGGAGGAGUUCUACAGGAGGUGUUGUCAUGUGGAAGGAAGCAUAAUUGGACUUCUCCAUUGGACUGGCACAGUUGGAAUCUUCUGGGUGAAGUUUGAAGCCUUCUGCCCUUCUACAGUCUGUCUGAGGGGGGAUAAGAUUCAGCUUCAGCGUUUUAACAUUGGUGGUGUGACAUAUUUAUAUUCUUAUGGUAGAGACAGUACUGUUUAUAAAAGAAUUUUUUGAUUCAGCCUCAGGAAGAGCAUGGUCAGCCGGACAAAGCCGUGUUAAGAGAUGUCGGUCCCUGUGGUGGAGCCAUGAGGUUAGGCUAGAGAAUAGUGUAAGAUCGCAUUUCUGCAUCCCUGGAAAACUGAUCAGAUUUAAAAAAUCCUUUUAUCUAGUAGGAGGAGAGAGGGUUGAGAGGGAAGGGAGAGGAGUGAAGUAAGGGUGGAAGGAGAGGGAGGGCUUUGCACACUGUACGGUUGGCUUCAGUAACGGCAUGGGAAGUGGCUUAUGUGGAUGGAAUCUGGCCAUGGGCGGGGGAGGGGGGUGCCCGGCUGCCACGGAGACUCUGGUGUGGGAGAGCUCCCCUGGGAGACGUGAGUGCCAGGCGGGUUCCAGUGUCAGAGAGAAUCUGUGGGGAGAGAUGCUGUGCAUUGUUUCCGGUUCCCCUGACCAGACUCAUGCCCCCCCGCCCCUUCCUCUCUCAGUCAUUUUGGUUGAAAGAGUAAGUAAAGGACGUGGGUGGUGGUCUGUCCAGGAGAGAGAGGCAGCAUUCCACCAGGCUGAUCGGCUGCGUGCACUUUGUAAUCCCAGCCAAGGAGUCUUUCGAAUGCACACUUGUGUAAUGUCACAGUGAUCUGGAGAACACAACCUGAGUUUUCAACUUGUGUUACGCUGCUUUGAAUGCAGUGGGAACUCGUCUGAGUAUUGCUGUAUCUGAAAGAGAUGUAUCGCCCUUUUAUAUUUCGGGGAGAAGGGCCGAGGACUGAGACCUAGACAACCUUUGGUCUUCUUUCUUCCUUUGGAUGAAAUGAUGCCUUCCUGCUGUUUCUGGAGGAAAUAGAAUUAUCUAACAGUGACGGUGACCGCUGAGUAUCAGGCAGCUUGUUGAGCAGAGGAACGGCUUCUUUUAGAAGGUGGCCUAGGAAGCUGCCAAAAGGAGUGAUCGUCGAAAAAAGAUCCAGUGAGAUGUUUGUUUACAAAAUAACAGUGAAACUCCCCCGCCUUGCAGACUUGAUUAUCGUCCGGGCCAAAUUAGGUCGCCCGUACGUGCACCUUAAUCUGUCACAUGCCCUGAAUGUGGCUUAGAAAAACCGUGCUGCAGACGCCGUUCCUUCCCCCCUCAGUGGCCACAUGACCGUGGUACCGCAGGCCAAAUUCCUUUGUAUCUAAAUCUUUUUUUAGUCAUGGACUCUUAACACAUGGAUUUUUAUUAUUAACCAGUUUUCUAGUCCUGUGUAGUUUUUCUUCCUGUUGGUUUAGCUACCUACCUGCUUGGGUUACCAUUUUAGAGAUCUAGUUUACCAAGAAGCAACAUGAAUUUCUCUGAAAGUCCAAAGGCCUGUUUAACAAUCAGCAUCAGUGCAAAUGAAAUGGUUAAGCACUUGCUAUUUUAACUCCCAAAGGAAGCAAAGAGAACUGAAACCCAGUGAAAGUUCCCUUUUAAGUGGAGCAUGCCCUGGGCGUCUGUCAUGUUUAAUAAUACUUUUGACCUUGGGGAGUAUUGAACUUGGAAUCUCUCUCAGGUGAUUUUGAGGGGCAUUGUCACAUACUCUGUGUCAGCAUUGUUUCCAGAGAUACAUCACACCAGACCAUAGAUCUCUGUAGUUUAUUUGUUAGAGAAAUUUGUUUUAUCGCUCAAAUUGAGUUUUUUUUUUCUAUAGGGAAGAUAAAUUAACAGGGUGGGCCACUAGAUUUCUGAGUCAUAGGCUGUUUCGUGUUCGGCACACUGCUUGGAGACGAUCUGUGUUUGGGUCAGCUUUUUUCUAGGCAAAUCUUACAGACACAAAGGUGUUUAUGAAAUUUAGGCUCAACUCUCACCAAUUACCAGAGAAGUGCCGUCUUAUUUUUUGCUGCUACUGUGCAGGUAACUGAUUAGUUAACAUUAUUACUUAUUGACAGAUGGUUUUUGCACCCAGGAGUGGUAAACUUUUUCUGUAAAAGGCCAGAUAGUGAGUGUCUUCUCUGUGGCACCUACUCACCUUGGUCAGAGACAAUAUGCGACAGCAUGGCUGGUUCCAGUGAAACUUUACUUACAGAAAUAGAUGGUGGGAUAUAUAUCGCCUGUGGGGCUGUAGUUUGCUGACUAGCACAAACUCUAGAGGAUUAUUUCCCUGAAAGUGUCACUCCAAAGCACCCUUUCCUUCUUCCCUUGGCCUCAUGCCUCUGAGAGAGUUGUGUGGUUGGUAGAGUUAGUGGGGAAUUUUUCCUUUCUGCAUUACUUUGAGCUGGUUGAGUAUUUUAUGUAUUUAUAUCUACAGCUGUGCCUGCCCCCUCCCCCCCCAACAACCCAUUCCCCUCCCCGCAUCGUUUUCGUAUAGCCAGCUGACAGGUAGGUAUUUGUUGGGAGAACUCAUUCUCACUAAUGACCCUUGAGGACUUUUACAGUAUGUUUGGAUUUACAUACAGGAGGAAUUAAAUGGUGGGGUUUUUUAGCUUAUUUUUUUUCUUUGUAAGUUAGCUUAUAUCUGUAGAGAAAAUUUGAAAGGUUAGAUACGCAUAACAAUACAUUAAAGUUUGUCUCCUAAUUUUCCAUGUGGGUCUUUUUUUUUUUUUUUUUUUAUGCUGCAACACAAUAUUCAGGACAACAGAAUAGCCUUUUAAAAAAUGUUUUUAUGAAAAGUAUGACUUUUCUGUUUAAUUUAGCCUUUAACAGAUACAUAUUGAUAUGGGCAAAUACUUCAGUGUUUGUUACUGAUGAAAUAAAACAUUUGAUACCCACAGAGGCAAAGAAAACUUGUCCGAAUAAAAAUUAGUCCAGUCACAGAAGAUGAGGCCGAUGAACCAUCAGCUUUUUAAUAAUACACUUUUGCUCACAGGGCAUCCUGGGAACUGAAGUGGGGUGGCACCUUGCCAGCCUUCUUCACCAUUGAAAGAACAGUACAGAACUCCUCUGACUGACACUGGUGCUUAGAAGUCUUUAUACUGAAGGACAGUGUUAUUGUUACCAAGACAGUAUUAUCCGAACAAUUUUUAAAGAAACAGUAUUGGUUACUGACAGAUUUUGUUUGUAUCCAGAUAGAGUAUGAAUGUUUCAGAUUUUAUUUGAGAGGAGGGUUUGAGGGUUUAUGUCCUAACCUAAAGUAAUGUGAUCUGUAUUAUUGGCUCUUAGUUUAGUUGGUGCAUUUCUGGCUAAGUUAAUAUAAAAUUGUCUGUGGUUUCUGCCCGUUUAUGUCCUUUCCCCAAAUGCUUUAUGUAGUUUACUACUGUAAAAUGUCAUACACUCUCAUUGCAGUCAUUAAAUCCAAUUUUCUUUUCGCCAGUUGACCAAACAAAAGAGUUAGUGGGGGAAUUGCUUUGUCCCUUUCCCGUAUUAUUUUGAGCUCAUGUAUCUUUAUACCCCGUGGCUUACACACAUUAUGUAAUUCGUUGUGGGUAUAUACCCCUGGUCAUUUAUAUUUUAUUUUACUGUGAUUAUGAUUAAGUAAUUUCACCUCCCUGAGAGGUAGAGUGCUCUUGUGGAAAAAAUACCUAGCUGGCUUCUGUUUUCAGUUCUUACUGUCAAAACUUCCUGGCUGUGUUACUUUAGGCAAGCUGUUUAAUCUUUUAGGAUAUUAGUUUCCAUCUAUCUGUCAUAUCAAGAUAAUACUCGUCCUGCUUACCAACAGGAUUAUUCUCAUGAGAAUAGAAAGAGGUAAUUUAGUGCUUUGAAAAUUUUACAGUGGUCUACAAAUGGAGGAGAUCAGUUGUUAUCAAUAUUCACCAGAUAUAAGAAACAUCUAAAUCACAGUGGUAACAAGUCUAUAUUCUCAUGUAAAAUGAGGUGUUUUCCAGGGUGUGCCAUCCAAGGUUGGUAGAGUGACCAUGAUCUUCAGGUGUCUAGUUUCCUGCCAUCUGCUCCAUUAUCCUUAGUGCAUGGUUUCCAUUCUCAGGGCCUCCUGUAGUCGCAGAUGGCCGUUGGAGCCACAGCCAUAUCACCUCCAUGUUCUAGGUCAGUGUUAUUCAAAUCAUGGCCCAGGGAAUGAACCAUUUGUUACUCGUCUACCAUGUGAUAAGUAUAGAAACAGAAAGUAACCAUUUAGAAAUUUUUGUAGCUGUUUGACAGUUCCUGCAGAGUCUUAUUUGUGUUUUACUAAAAAAUAAAAAAAAAAAAAAGUAUUGCUCUGCAGCGGAUUGGGGGCAGGUGGUUCUCCACCACAGCCUGGCAGCUGAAGGAGGAGGGCACAGAGGCAAAAGCUAAGGUUGCCCGUUCCAGAGUGUCUCUAGCAGCCCCCAUCUAACAACUUCAGUUUACACAGAUCUUCCAGGGCGUCUGGACUUGCUUUGGCCGUGUGCCAGUGACGGAAGGGCUCUGUUACUAAGGGAAAUGGGAGGAUGGCAGCAGAGAAGGCCACCAGCAUUCUGUGCCCCAGUUGGACAGGUCUAAAAGCUCAGAGCCAUUCAGCACAGAAUCAGAUUCACAGAGCCUGUGCAAUUCUUAGAGGUAAUGACCCCAGGGCAGCAGCCACUUCUGGUGACUCGGAGAGUCAGUGCAUGUCUCAGAUGGGAAAACAUACUGAGAAGGUCGAAAGCAGAGUAAAAAUGAUGCGAGAGAUUAUAUAGUUACCUUUCAUAGGAAAGAACGUUUUUACGGGCGCCUGGGUGGCUCAGUCAGUUAAGCGUCAGACUUCGGCUCAGGUCACGAUCUCACAGCUUGUGGGUUCAAGCCCUGCGUCGGGCUCUGUGCUGACAGCUCGGAGCCUGGAUCCUGCUUCGGAUUCUGUGUCUCCCUCUCUCUCUCUGCCCCUCCCCUGCUCAUGCUCUCUCUGUCAAAAAGUGAAUAGAAACAUUAAAUUUUUUUUUAAAGAAAACAUUUUUAACAGAUUUUACAUUUAUUUAUAUUUUCAUAACUUGAAGUAAAUUUGUGAAUUUAGUUACAGUUCCUCAUUUUAAACCAAGAUGGAUUAUCUUCAUGCAAAUAUGAUUAAGUGUGAUUCUCUUAGGAUAUGUUACAGAAGCAGAGGGGUGCCUGGCUGACUCAGUCAGCAGAGUGUGUGUCUCUUGAUCUCGGGGUUGUGAGUUCAAGCCCCACACUGUAGGUGUAGAGCCUGCUUUAAAAAAAUGGUACGGAGGUAGAGCUCUUUGCAAAGAUGACUUUUAAAAGGUACCUUUUGUUGUUUUGGAAUUGGCAUGAUCCUCUUUGGUAUGUCGUGUGUAAAUGCAUGCAGUGUUUAUGUUAUAGGGAGGUUUUUAAGAGAGAGGGUUAUAAGGAUGAAGUGGUUGGUGAUUUAAUUGAAUUUUGUGUUUUCAAAUCUUAGUUUCGUUGUUUCACCAGCAUUGGAAGUAUGGUAAAAUGUCUUCACUUCACGUUGGCAUUGCAAAUGGUUUUUCCCUGCUUUUGCUAAAAGUCUUUGGUUUCCUUCUCAUGUGUUAAGCCAGCGUGUAUUAAACCUUUUUAUUAUGUAGCAUUUGUUACUAGGCAUCUUUAUAGGAAGGGAUUAAGAAUGAUGGCUGGAUCUUUAAGGGGAAAAUCCAAGUUCUUACCUUCAGCAUGUGCAAAUGUUUGUGGGAGGCACAGGGCAUGGGUAGAUGUCUUUAAAGUAGCUAGAAAGCAUUAUAUUUGCUAAAGUGUGCGUUAGAGAGGAGCCACAAAUGAUUGAACCUGCCUGUUGCUAAGGUAAGGUAGGAAGCGUCUCGUGAACCGAUGGCUUCAGGGUUGACUUUUACAGAUAAGGGCAGUGGAGGGGAGAGAAGGGUGCGUUCUAGACCCGAGAUCUUGCCGCUAACUGCUUGUUGGGUCAGCGUGGUGUUUGUCCUCUUUAGUUGUCAUGAAACGGAUGAAUUUUAGUCACAGUGACUGGAUUUGGAAUGUGGGAAGACUGUGGGCCGUGUCUGUGAACUGGGCUUACCUAGGCAGUUUUGCAAGGAAAACAGAUUGGCAUUUUAUUUUUUCCUCUCACUCAGUGAGGAUAGUGCUGAUGUGAGAAAACCCACCUUGGCCACGAGUGGUCAGUGACUGCUGAUCGGGUCAGGACUCGUCUUGCUCUUCGACCGUCUUUUUCUUGACCGUUCCGUUUGAAGACUCCAGGUGCCUUUCCAUCUUGUUUGAUCCCAGAAAAGCCUCUUCACGAAAAGUUGUUCGUAGAGAAAGCCUUGCUUUAUCUGCCAGCACAGGUGGCUUGAUCUUUACUUUCUUGCUGCCCAGUGGCAGUUGGUACAGGAUGUCGUGCAUCUGAUGACAGCUCCACAGGGCUCUCUUGCUGCCUUUUCUUCAGAGUCUCAGUUGGAAGAGGUCUGCCGGCUUUCUCCUUUAUAGUGAGCAAACAUUUGGGAAGCUCAUGUUCAGUUCUUAACGUCUGAAAUAGUUGAAUAACUUUCAGUUGCUCCAGAUACUGACAGAACGAUGCAGUUGAGUCAGGAUAGUUUGGAGACUAAUUGGUUGGCAACUCUUUCUACUCAGCAGCUCUUUAACUGUUUCUAGAGAAAGAAACUGCUAGAGGAUUCUGGGUGAGCCCAGGCAUGUGGUCAGUGGCCGGGAAACAGCAACUGUGAAUCGGUGUCGCUGAGGAGGCUGCAGGAGUGGGAAGUCAAGUCAAGUGGAGGAAAUGCAAUUCGAGGACUAGAUUUUCCAGAUUAGCAGAUUAACAGUGUGUUUGUUUACGCUGCUGCCUGGAAGCAUGGCCUUUGUAUUUCUUUUCUAAGUGUGAAUUAAGUAAGAUUAGACAAUCUCAGGUUUCACUUUGGAAAGCUUAAAGGCAUGGUUUAUGUUAUUUUUCCAGCAGUAUUAGAAUCAGAACAGCAAGUCGAUUACCUUGGCCUCUGAGUCAAUACUACCUAUAGGCUGCAAAGUGGGUCACGUUUCCCCCUCUGUUUUCAGAGAUUCUCUGACUUUCUGCUUAAUUCUGUACAGUUUCAAGAAAUUUAUUUCAUGAGUUUAUUUACCUGCCUAAAUGGAUUUUAAACUUUUGAGGGAACAAAGCUGUGUUUUGAACGUUUUGGGCAUUCUCUAUGGUCCCUGGUACUGUCUCACGUAGAUUGUAGGCUCUUUGUUUCUGGAUUUGGUGGAUUUCCUGUGUAUCUCCAGGUGACUGGCUGGCUUCUCAUCCUUCAGGUCUCAACCAGAUGUCACCUCCUCUGGAAGGUUUUUCUGACUACCAUGGUCUUACCCUGUUUCAUCCUAAGUCUUUUUUAAUUUGAGAGAGAGAGGGGGAGAGAGCGAGCAGGGGAGAGGGGUAGAGGGAGAGAGAGAAUCUUUCUCUUUCUCUCUCUCUCUUUUUUUUCUAAGAGAGAGAAAGAGAGAGAGAGAGAGAGAGAAAGAGAGGGAGAAAGAGAAAGCACAAGUGUGGGAGAGGGGCAGAGAGAGCAAGAAUCUUAAGCUCCACGCUCAGCACAAAGCCUGGCCCAGGGCUCAAUCCCAUGAUCCUGGGAUCUUGACCUGAGCUGAAAUCAAGAG
rnacentral:lncRNA from 1 species